UUUUUUUUUGUUUAAAACUCAUUACAAGCCGAGAAGUGAAAAACAAUGUUAUCACCCUAUUCAAAGGGUUGAAAGAGUCUUGUUUGAAGUUGUGUGGGGUUGAAUAAUUAUGUUUAUAAUAUUUCAGAAGUUGGUAGAAAAAUAAAAGAAAAAUAGAAAAAGAAAAUAGAAACGAAAAAAAAAAUGAAAAAAAAUAGAAGGAUGUAUACAUGUCAAUACAUACUCCUUAUGAAGAAGAAAAAAAGAAGAAGAAAAAAGAGAAAGGAGAAAAAAAUAUGAAAGAAAACAGUUAAUAUAGAGUUGUUGAAGUGAAUGAAAUAUUUUGUAAAUUCAACUCCCGCAGUUGCUUUCAAGUCUCUUUUAUCUCUUUGAAUUUUAGCCUAGUACCCCUUAGGAUUUAUCUCACCCUUACCUUAGCCACGUUACAACUAAAUAAAAGUCCUUUGGAUCUUUGUGUGCAUGUAUUCCAACUGUGGAUGUUAGAGUCCUUUCAAGCUUAUGGUAGUACUAAUUUUCAUGUUGUGCUUUGAGUGUAAACAGUUAAUCUAAACACUUGAGAGUUGAGUGAAUUAUAUCCUGUGAGGAUCUCAUUGUUGUUGAUGUACUUUUUGGUAAUCUAUUUUUCUAUAUUCUUUGAAUGUCACAAAAAGUUGCUUACUAACACCAUAUUCUUGAAGCUUAGACUUAGAAUUAUGCUUAUACCUUGUAUCUUGAAAACUUUUGGAAGUGCAUGCUCUGUUUUCUUUCCUUUUGUUUUGAAAAGUUGCUUACUAACACCAUAUUCUUGAAGCUUAGACUUAGAAUUAUGCUUAUACCUUGUAUCUUGAAAACUUUUGGAAGUGCAUGCUCUGUUUUCUUUCCUUUUGUUUUGAAAUUGUAAUUUUGCCCGGAAUGCAAAAGUUCAAGUGUGGGGGAAUUGGUUCUUUGAAAAGGAAUAAUAGAAAAGAUAUAGGAUUUAAAGAGUUCAAGGAAGUUGAAAUAAGAUAUGAUGUGAUGGUAAUUGAUGUCACCAUCAAUCAGAAAAUGAUUUAUAAUCUUCUUGGUGUAUCAACUGUAGGAAGGUGCACUCUGAACACCAAAGAAAGUUGUCUAGAAGCCAAAGUCAUUAAAACCAUUUUGUUUGAGUAUUCUGAGGACUUUGGAAAAUUGAAGAACAUGAAGACUCCUUACAAACUUUUGUUCAAGAUCCUUAUUGGGUGUCUGAUUCCUAGAGAAGGUAAUACUAAUCAAAUCUCUUGGGAUCAUAAACAUUUCAUCUAGUAUUUGGUCAAUGAGGAGAAAAUUAAUCUACCUAGCUAUAUCUUUCAUCAUAUGUGUGAAGCUAUAAAGUAGAGUAUGAAGCAUAAAAAGAGGAAUGUGCCUUAUUUUAUACUCUUUUAUGAGUUAUUUCGUCAUGGUUGUCUGAUUGACACUUUGAGAGCUACUUAUGCUCAUGAUGAUCUGGAAGAAACUCAUGGAAAUAUUCUCUCAGCUUUAGUCUUGGCUAAUAUGAAGCUUCUGAAGAAGGAUAAAGUAGUGAUAUCAGAAGUACCACUCAAAGUCAAAAGUGCAAAGUCUUCAUAUCUUGAAGACUUUCCAAUAAUUACCAAGCAUGAUAAUCCAUAUGUAAUUAAGGAAUUCAUCAAGAUGGCAAGAAUACAUAUUGGUGUUGCUAUGACUUAUGAGGACAUUCCAGAUGAACAAGAUGACAUGUACAAACCUUAUAGAAAAAGAAAACAGGUUGCUUCUGAUGCUCAAAAAAUAGUUCAGAAGCCUCCUAAGAAGAAGGUUGUAUAACAAAAAGAGAUCCAGAAAGAGGUUGAAGAGGUAGCCUCUUCCACUGUCUUGAUGCCCACUAAGACAAGGAGUGGAGGAAUUGGAAAAACUCUUCAGAAGACAUCUUCUUCUGUCUCCACUGCUGCACCUGUGAAGAAGAAGAGAUUGAGAAAUAUGACUCUACCUUCUAAUAUUGCAGAGGAAAAGGAAGAAGAGGAAAUUGAGGUACCUUUUGUGAGGAAGACAAAGGAUGUGGAAGUUGAAUCACAGAAGGUUGUAGAGGGAUUCAUUCAUAGAGGAUCACAAUUGAUUAUCUCUGUUUUGUUGGAAAAAGCAAAGGAUCAACCUACAACUCCUGAAGCUUAAGUGGAAGAAGAUGAUGUUAUAGAAGAUAUUCUGAAGACAGUUGAAGUUCAUGUUACUGAAGCAAUAAUUGCUUUGAAGAAUAUUGAAUGUACUUUUGAAGCUGAAGUUUCUCUUGUGCCAUAAGAAGUAGUACCAGAAGUAGCUACUAUUCUUGCUUCUGAAGCUAUUGUUGAAAAUGAGCAAGUUGGUACAUAUGCUGAAGAAACAAAUAUUACAGGUAAGAAACUGAAUUUUAUCUCCGAGGACUUUUUUAUUCUUCCAUUUUAAACUAUAUAUCACUAACACCUUCCCUCAAACAAUCUCAUAACACACUUGAUCACCUACUCAUAACAUGGGUCAACAUUCAGAACUUGUGAUGGAUUCCCCUAACCCUACACCCCUCCUUCAGAUUCUAGAGAAUACCUUAAUCCAAUUGAUUAUGAACAUCCAACUAGUGAAACCUAUGAUGAUCAGAGACAACUGCCAUGAAAUUUUAAGUCUGAACAACCUCAACCUAUAAAAACCAUAUUUGGACCCCCUAUAGAGGUCUCCAGUGGUAAGGUUGGAUCAAGUUCAAGCUCAAACUCAGACUCUGACCUUGAUGAUAUUGCUCUCAAACCUCUAUAUGCACACUCGCCCAAGUUAUCCCUCUUAAAAUCUCCACCAUAGAAAACCUACCAAAUGACCAAACAUGUUUUUUCGAAAAAAAUAAUGGAAAAAAUAACUUAUCAGUUCAAACUAAAGUUGGAAAUGUUAUCCAAACCCAACUUGAACCUUCAUCUGAACCCCAACCUCAACCUUAUCUUGAAUCAAAUCUUGCACAUGCUCAAUAUAAAGUUCAAAUAGCAUCUGAGCUUCAGAUUGAAGCUAAAAAAGUCUCCUUUGAUCAACCUCCACCAGAAAAUAUCUUAAACCAAAUUGUUUAAGAAAACCAACCAUCUAACUAUCACUCUUCUCCUAAAAGAAUAGAUGAUGUGUCAGAAUCUGGCACAGUACACAUAUACAUUCCCUCACCUCUCAUACAAAUAGACAUUACAUCUCAUCUACUAUAUAUCCUAGCCCAAAUAGAAUAAUACAAAACUGUUCUUUUUAGUAGAAUGUGAAAUCUUGUUAUUGGGAGAAUUACAACUUCUAACACAAUAACUUAUGCUGCAAAAUGGGAUACUCUCAUAACUUUUAUGGUAUCAGUUCUACAAGGUCUAAAGUACAUAUCCUUAGAAUCGGUUACUUCUUCCAGUCAGAGGCAAGAGCAUUUAAAAGCAAAGCUGGCUUCUGUUGCCAAUACUCAGGAAGUCAUGGCUCUAAGCAAAGGGAGAUGGAUGCUCAUAUGAAGACUAUGAUUUCUAGAUAAGAUGACAUGGGUGCUUAUCUAAAAGUAAUUUUGGAGCUCUUGAAGCAAAAACCUUAGGCUAUAGGAUUUAGUCACCUUGUGUUUUAUCUUUUCUGAACAUCUGCUUUGAAUCUAUUUUUUGAUUAAUGAAAUCUUUUCUUCAGUAUCUUUUCUUUCUUUUUCAUAUAUUUUUUAUUGAUGAAGAAAUUGGGAGAAAGAUAAUGGGUAUUUAAGCACCCCUAAGCAUCUGAAUCUGAUGACUAUUCUUACUGUUGCUUAAUUAGUUUAUGAAGUUAAUAAUGGCGUGCCUUAAAAGGAAUUUAAUUAAACUAGAUAGGACUUAUGAGGAGCUUACAAACCUCACCCUCUAUACUAUCCAACUCAGGGGGGAUGGGGGGCUUAUAAACCUCAGACCCUGAAGUCAACAUGCUAACUAAAUCAACAACCAUUGUUAUUAAAUACUUAUGUUUGUCAUCAUCAAAAAGGGGGAGUUGUCUUCAGGGUUUAAAGGGAGUUUGUCAUCCUUUAGUUGAAACGAGGAAACAUGAAGGUUGUUGAUUAUGCUCUGAAGUUUAAGGAGUUGUAUAGAUUAUGUCUGCAUUAUAAUGGGGUAGGAGCUAAGGGUUCCAAGUGUAUCAAGUUUGAAAGUGGCUUGUGUCAAGAGAUCAAGCAAUUCAUCAUGUAUCAAGAGAUUCGUCAGUUUUGUGUGUUGGUAAUAAGUGUAGGAUGAUGGAAAAAAAUUGGUCGAUACCAUAUCCCUUAGGUUUUGAUGCUAACAAAGUAUUUAAAAUAACAAAUGGCUAUUGUAACAUCUGUUCAAGUAUGCAGGAUUAUAAGUAUAAGAACAAAUGAAGAGAAGCUUGAAGAUUCUAAAUCUGAAUUUCAUACUCUGGCUCGGAAGAUCACUGCUAAAGACUUUGGCUCUGAUGGAAGAUCCAGACUUUGAAGAAGUUAAUAUCUGAAGAAAUUUAGCCUCUCGUGAUGCAUACUCUGAAGCUUUAGAAGCCAAGAAGCAAACUCUGAAGAGAUCAACCUCUGAAGAGUAAAGUCUAAAGAAAGUUAACCUCUGAAGGAUUAGAACCUGGGCUCCAGAAUUUGAAGGUUGUCUAAUUUCUUUAGUCUAGGAAACUUUAACAGACUCAGAGAUAUUUUAUUCAUGUGAGGACUUAAGGAAAAGUCUCUUCAUUUUUGUCUGAGCUUCGAUGUAUAAUUCUUCUUACAGAAAAGUGCUUUCUUGAUGUGUCUAAUCAAGUACAAAGGUUAUCCAUAAUAUCUGGUGAAAGUCUUCCAACAUAUAUUUUCCUUCUCUAUAUAUAAGUAGAAAAUGGAGUUCAAGAAGAAGACUAAUACACUAUAAUACAAGACUCCGAACCUUGACAAUUCAAAGAGAAUUUACUCUGUUAAAUUAGCUAGACUUAGAAUAUCUUACCAACUGUACAUUUUAGAAGUUCUUAAAUUCUUAAGAUUCUUAAUAAGUUGUAUUCUAUCUUCACCUCUAAUUAUAUAUCAAGUGUAGUUUUUACCCAAUAUCUUAACAACUUGUUAUAGAGUCAUAAUUCUCUUGCUUUAGUGCUUGAGCAUUUGAAGUCUCUUGCUUGUAUGCUUGAGCAUAUAAGUCUCUUACUUAGGGUUUUCACAUUUUAAGUCUCUUGUUUGUGUGCUUGAACAUAGAAUUAUCUUACUUGAGGGUUUGAGCAUUGGAAGUCUUUUGCUUGUGUGCUUGAGCAUAAAAGUAUCUUACUUGAGGGUUUAAGUAUUAAAGUCUCUUACUUAAGGGUUUGAGCAUUGAAAGUUUCUUGCUUUGUGCUUGAGCAUUUGUAAUCAGAUUUGGUUAUAGUGGAAAUCCAUUGGAAGUGUAGGGGGACUGGACUACUCUCAAGUUGUGAGAGGAGCCAUAAUAAAUGUCGUGUGUCUUUACUUUUACUUUCAUGUUUUUUGAUCUUAUCUUUCCAUUGCUAUCAUCUUUGCAAUUGUGAGUCAGAUUCUGGUUCAGAAUCUAACAAGGACUUUUAGAAACAAACCCAUUAUUUCUGAAUCAGACUCUUAAAUAAGUGUUGAAAAUCUAAUUGAGAUCUAUCAGAAGCAAAAUAAGAAAAAGUUUAGAGGAGAAAACCCAAUACAAUUCAACCUCCCCCCUUCUUGUGUUUUUCUCACCUUCAUAGGAUCUACGACGAAGAUAGUUGUGCUAGAUCAGUUAACUAUAAGAUUAUUAGUGAGAAGAAAAAUGGAAAUCAAAAUCAUGGAAAGCCUUAUGAGACUCCAGUUGAUAAAGGGAUGUCGAAGGCUUUAGGUGGGAAAGAGAUAAGUGGGGGAGGCACUCAUGCCUCUGUUAGAUGUAUUAGUUAUGGAAGGAUGUGUAACACCUCAAAAUUUUCCCUCCUCUCUUGGGACUAGCUGAGCAUAUUGCAUAUUAUUUUUAGGUCAUUAGGCAUUGCAUAUUGCAUAUCAUGUGGUUACAUUGUGCAAGUCAUCCUUCCAAGUCUUGAUCAGAAGAUGGAGAGGUCAUGGUGCAAGCUAGGGUUUCAUUGGACUGGAUCACUAACUGUCUGAGGGUGUGUGGUUCAAAUAUAGGGUUUUGAUUCUCAAGGGAUUGGAGCUACAUCUUUGGUGAGUGUGAUACAUCAUCAUUGUCAGGGUUUUGAUAUCAUCCAAGAUUCAAGUGUUUGAUCAAUAUACCUUUGGAUUAGGGUUUUGACCACUGGUCAACCCUAAUCAUCUGCAUUGGGCCAAUCAGGGCAUGCGCAUGGAGAUGGGGUCUAUAAUGGAUAUGGGGAUCAUAGUGUGAUUGUAUUGAGCUUAUUGAGGCUAGGGUUUCAUCCUUGAGCCAUUUCAUCAGAAGAUUGGGGUUCAGAUUGAUCAAUGCAUGUCCCAAAUUCAUCUAUCAGUUGAAAAAGUCAACUGUGGUCAACUGUGCUUGAUUUAUGGAUUUGGAGGUAGGAGAGAGUUGGAUACACUUCAUUCAUGUUGAAACAAGUUUCAUUUGACAUGUCAAAGCUCAAGAAUGAAGAAAAUAAAGUCAGGACAAAAAUUGCCAAAAAUAGAAGUGACUUGUAAUGAGAGUUUCCAAAAAUGGAAAGUUUUUCACCACAAAAUUACAUGUCCAAAGAAGCUUCAAAUGAAACUUUGUUCAACAUGAAAGUUGUAGAUCUUGGUCUCACCUUUCCAAAAAGUCAAGAACUUGAAAUUCCCAUGUGUGGUUGCAAGUUAUGGUCCAUUCAUUUUCCAAAAAUGCCUAUAAUCAAAGUGGCAUAACUUUCACAUGGAAUGUCCAAAAUGGAUGAUAUUUUUAUGAGCAAACUCCUUUCACAUGUACUUUCAUGGUGCAUAAUCAAAAUUCAUCAAAAUGGUCAAUGCAAAAGGUCAAUUUUCAAGUGCAACAAUUAAAAUCCAAGGGCAAAAUGGUCCAAGUUGAGAAAUACAUGGAAUUUUUGAAUGAGGAUUUUUGCAACACACUCCAAAUGACAUUUAGAGAUGUUUGAGAUGUCAUGAGCUGUCAUGGUGUAAUAUUGGCAAGGGCAUUUUUGGACUUGCACUUAAGUUUCACAUUACACUAAUUAACUCAUUUUUGCUAAAUUUGGAUUAAGAGAGUGAUUAAGGUGAAGUAUAAGAUGCUAAUCAUAACAGAAUGUUAAUCACAUUGCAAUCUCAAGAUUCUCUAACUAACUUUCCCUCCAUUUUCCAAAUUCUGCUCAAAAACUUCAUCAACAUUUUUCAAGAUUUCUCCACCAUUUCUUCAUCAAAUGGCAUAAUUCUUUUGAUUCGUUCUUCACAAGCUUGAUCUCCAUCUGUUUUGGCAAGUCGUGGCAAUAGCAUCAAGAAUCUCCACUGUUGUAAAAGCUCGACAAUGGCAUUUUGAGAUUUCUUCCAAUUGAAGCAACAUUGAGCUUGGUUGAUCACUCCAUUCACCUUCCUAUACCUUGACACGCAUCUGUUUUGGAUAAUUGGAGCCAAACACACACAAAUCCAUAGCUGCCAUCUCCAAGGUACCAAAAUUCGAAACUCACCGUUGUGUAAAUUAUGAUAUGCAUUUGGAAGGUCUUUGAAUGUAGAACAUCAUGAUGUGUUUUUAUUUUUGAUUAAGUAUUGGAUGAGAAAUCUGGAUUAAACCUUUGAUGAGCAAACUUAUUUCGUUCGAUUCUUGCUGUACAUGAUUUCUGGAUGAUUUCAUAGUGAUAUUCGUGUUGUACGUGCUUAGACCUUUCCAUCCAUAUAUCGUUUGUGAAUUUUGGUUGAGAUUUGAGCGUAACCGAAUUUUGGAAGUGAAGAACAUGAACACGGGGAAGAACAUCAAAUUUCUGGAAAAACUCAUCGUUUGAUCCACUGUACUGCCAUGCACAUUGAAUUUCUGUUUAGCGCCAAAUCUAACCACUCACGUCACGCCACCGAAUUAAUGAGCAGUGCGUUUUUGGCCUUGGAUAGGAGAAUUACGAAGUUGCCAUUCACCUUAAUUCAUUAAUAAUUCACUUUAAAUAAUUAUUUCAUAAUUAACAAACUUACAAAAUCAUAAAAAAAUCCAAUAUAAUACAAAUUUAGUGGAGUUUUUUGUUAGAUUCAUAUUUCCUAGUUUUUUAUAGGUAUGAUAACUCAAGUUGUGCUUGGAGAAUUUUUACUUUGCCUAUUGAUCUUUGACUUGUGUGCAUUUUGUGUAUGUUUCACCAUAACCUUCAUGAAAUCUCAUACAUUAUCCAAAUUGAAUGAAAUUCACAUCUAAUUCUUGACUCCCUGCUGGUUAUUUUGAUGUAUAGUUUGUGAAUUUUGGAUCCCUGGUUUGGAUGAUAUGAGUGUGCAAGUUGAGUGUGACAAUUGUGUCACACUAGGUUAGGUCAAUUUCAUGAAUUUAUUUGACAUGCCUAUGCUUUUUAAUUGAUCUCAAUUUUUGCAUGCUGUGUCUUGUUAUGUCUAGUUUCACCAUGUUUUUUGUACGAACUGUUGAUUCAUUUCAUUUAAUUGAGAUUUUUGAUGCUGUUUAGCAUUUUUAGGCUUUGUUUGAGUGUUUGUUCACAGUCUUGUGAAAUGCUCAUACCAUAUCAUAUGAAUGUGAAAUUUGAUGGAGUGAUUCAUGACAUGUUUAGAUGUAGUUUGGCUUUAGUCCCAUUCAUUUCUAAUAUGUUUUCACUGUUUUAUGAUUUAAUGGAAGAUGAUGCUUUGUUUGGAUGCCUUGAAUUGGCUUGUAUAAAUGUGUCUGGACUUCUUGAAUUUCAUUGACCUACUUUCUUUGUCAAUUGAGCUGAAAAUUGACAUGCUAUACCUUGAAUUGUCCUGUUUAGGUGUUGAAGUUUGUGGAAUUAUUGAAUUGUUUUGGUAUGCUUUUGAUUGAGAUAGUUCUGUUUGGACUUUGAAGUUGCAAAUUGCAUGAUUGAUGUUAAAUUGUGCAUGAAAUGAUAAUGGUGAUUGAUAUGAGCAUGGGACCAAUUGCAUUUGCUUUUAAUUUGUUGACUGUGAUUUUGGUUGGUUUGCACUUGCUUUUUUAUUUUUUUAUCCCCUUUGACCCUAGGCUUGGCUAGUGGUCUAGUUUCUCACAUUUGGUGUGGAUUUUCAGGUUGAAAUGCAAAAGGCUUAAGGGAAAAAGUGCAAGUUGUAAAUUGAGAUUGUUUGAUGUUGUAAACUAACAUUGGCUUUGUGUUGUAGGUUGAUGCUUGAGCUUGAGCUCAUGGCUUGCCUUAUGUGCAUUAACUUGUGUUGUCUGUAUAGAUUGACUUUUGCUGUUUAUGUUGGUUUGUCUGAGUACUGAUGAUACUUGAUUGAUUUCAGGUACAUUUAGUCGCUUACAGCUCUUAAGAACUUGCUUGCUGCUGCUUGGUUUUUAAACAGUUGAGGUAGACUCUCUUGUCUUCAUGUAUCUGGAAGACCUGGCUUGUAUUUGCCAGGCAACUGUCUGAAGUCCUCCUUAAGAGGCGAUGUCUGUGAUUGUUUACUUUUGUGCCAAGCAGGUAAAGACCUCUAUGAGGCAAUUGGCGGAACCCAAGGGAUAUGCAAUCUAUCCCCGAUAUUGUGUGAGUCGUCCCUCUGCUCACACCACUGUGUUGAUGCAUUGGACACUAACCCAAGAUCUUGUACUUUGUACAGUUGUGUCAGAGUCUUGAGCGUAGAAGGGUCCCUCCAUUCUGGACCCACGCUCCUUGUCUGAAGCUCUCCCUGGACAGGGAUAAGAGCUGUGAAGUCUAAUCUUCACUCACCUUUCAUCAGCUUCACCUUAGCCCCUCAAUGGCAGGUAAGAGCUAAUCUACUUGUACAGAUGAUUGCUCGGCAGUCCACCUUGUUUGAGCCUCACUUGACUGGAUACUGGUGUGCUAUGUGAAUAUUUGUUUUAUGUGAUUGAUGCUUGCAUGCUUGCUUUCUUCCUGGAUAGGAUUAGUCUUGUGUUGCGCAAGUAGUAGAAACCACAACAUAGGGCAAUGAUGCAUGACAACACUAGGCUCGAGUACAGCCUCCUGGUAGUGUGUCUUCCCUGGUUUCUGGCUAGAAUUUCUUUCCCUUUCAGGGGAACUACAUCGCCCUGAUCCUCGUUCCAGACGAGGUAGUUAGGCAGGAGACCGUGCGAGGUCUCUCCGGGCAUUUUUUUUCUUUUUUGUGUGUGUUUUACUUGUUAUCUUCUUGUGUGUUAGGAUAUGGAGUAAGCCCGCGAUUGGCUGUCCGUAUCCAGAUUGUUGUUGUUGGUUCAGAAGCUGAGUAAUUCCAUCGAGUGGUUGUCGGGUUUCCAGGUUUGCUGUGGUGUGUGUGUCUUGUUUGGCGUGCGUGAGCCGACUACGCAGCACUCUGAUCUUCGGUUCCAGGACGAGAUACGUAGGCAUAGGAUGCGACGUCCUAUCGGCUCAGUCUUCCUCUUAACCCCACUGUGUUGUCUUCGGUGCGUGUGUGUGUGGUGUUUUAGAAGCUUUUCUUUCUUAGAGCGUGGAUCCCGCGAGUACGACGGACGUGAGGGCGUGCUAUAUACCUUCCCUUGCGUAACCGACUCCCUUACCCUUUCUCUUUGGUCGCGAGACCAUGCUUUUUCCAGGUUUCUCUGAGCGUUUCCUUUCCCUAGUUUGGGAUAAAUAACGCGCAGUGGCGGCUCUGUGUUGUGUUUUUGUUUCAGCCCGCCGGUUGUUUUUCGCGGAUGCGACAUGAUGGGUCAUCGUGCUAAUGAAUGCAAGAGUUUGAUCGCGACUCUGGUAAGUCUAUAUGAAUUGUGACUGCAAGUGCACAGUCCUAUCACAUAGUUUUAAAGAUUAUCGAACCCACAAGGACUAAUACUCGAUCGUAUCGUGGUCUGAGGUUACUAUGUAAAUCUAAGGCGAAUGGUUGUUCUAAGAUUGGAGGGAUGAAGAGAAAUUACUAUAAAAUAGAAUAGAGACAAAGAUAUAAGAUAUAGGGGAUAUCUGUAUGUAAUACAUCAAACCUCUGGGAUUCGAUAGAUAGUUGGUGUAAUCUUAUAGGUUAAAAUAUUCUUCAGUAGAAAUUAUUUAUAGAAAGGACUUAGCCUCACACUCUCGUUUUAUUGACUUCGACCAUACUCCUAAACUAGAAUGCUUGGCUCUCGCGGUCUCAUUUUGAAUUUAAAAGUACUUUUUGAAUAUAGGUAAAGUCUAAUUAAUCAUAAAACGCUCUCGCUGUAUUUAGGAUCAAUGCCUAGUUUCAGCUAUCAGGUUAAAAUCUCAAACUCUCAUUUUUAUUUACCGUAUCCUUAGUUUGUUUUGUACUCUCGUACAAAUAACAGUUUGAUUAAAAUAAGAAACUAAAAUCGGAAAAAUAAAUUUUAUAAAAACUAACACCAAUUAUUUAUUGAAUCCCGUUGUUUCGACGGUCUUUACAUACCGAUCCCUAAGGGUUUAGCCGGACAUAGAUCCGGUGACAGACAUGGCAAUUGGGGAAUUAAACAUACAGUAAGGCAUAAAUAAAUAAAACAGUAGACAAUAAUAAACCUAGAUUGCAAUUUAAGAACUGGAAUUGAAUCUUGAAUCUUCGAUUAAAUAAUUCCGACAGGCUUUGGCAAUGAAUACCUCUUACAAAUUGAAUCCCAAAUGCAUGAAAAAUAAUAAACCAUAAUAGUCCUCGAUGUGGAGAAACUAUCACUUUUAGAAUGGUAAGAUGGUAAGAAACUGCGUAGAAAACUAAAAGAAAAAUAAAGCAUAACAAAAAUUAAUCGUAAACUAAAAACUGGAAGAAGAGAUCCCCCGAUGGUAGUCUGAAUGGUCCAUUUUUAUAUCCUUUUCAUGUUCCUCAAAUGUAGCAAGAGUGGUGGAAACCGUGGCUAAAAAGGGAGCAAAAAAGUAGGGAUAGUUAGGAGACUUGGUUGUGGCGGUUGCCACAACCCUAAAUCUAUGAUGAGUGGCAACCGCCACUCUUGUAGCAACUGCCACCCCACUUUUCAAGGGUGAUAGGGAUAGUUAGGAGACUUGGUUGUGGCGGUUGCCACAACCCUAAAUCUAUGAUGAGUGGCAACCGCCACUCUUGUAGCAACUGCCACCCCACUUUUCAAGGGUGUAAUACCCCAAAAUUUACCCUUCAUUUUCCUGGAAGCAUGGGAUUAUGUUUUACAUUUCAUUGGCAUCAUACUAGGUCAUACUCAUUGCAUACUGCAUUAGUGACUUGGAAAUCAGGUUUUGAUUGAUCACUCCUUAACAAAAAGAGCCCACACAAAGCAAGAUUGAGAAUUGGACUUCAUUCUCUAGUAUACAAGUCUCAAGGGUCUCAGGAGGCUCCAGGUAUCUUAUUAUGGUCUUCAGUUCAUCAGUGAAGGAUCUAGAGCUAUCAGAGUGUUCAUCUGGAUUUAAUCAGGAGAUUAGGGUUUCAUGGCUACCUGCAACCGACAAUGUUUAGUUGGAAGUAGAGGAGCUCAUACAUGUCAUGAUUAGAGAGGCAUCUUGGCCUAGUAAGAUUCACAAUUAUUUCAGAAAGAUCCAUUGGUAAACAGUGCAAUCAGUUCCUGAUCAAUUUUGCCCUAAAACUAGGGUUUGGUAAAAAAUCAGUUUAUUUCUGAUUCUUUGGGUAAAACUCUUUUCCAUGGCCCUCCAUAUGUCCACAAGGGUCUACAUACAAAAAAUCAGCUUUUUAUUUGAGCCAAAAGUGCUUCAAUUGAUCACUGGAAUCGGUAAUCAGACUGUUUGGGAAAAGUCAACUAUGGGGCCAGAAAAGUCAACUCCUGACAUUUUGAGAGUGGAAUCUCAAAAUCCAUGCCUAAGAGAGCCUACAUGUUAAAUUUGAUCAAAGUUGGAUCAUGGAUUCAUCAUUUAAUCAGGAAUGGGAAAAGUUACUUAAUUUGGAAAUGGUUGACUUUCCAUUUAGGGCAAGUUUUCAUGAUUGUUGCACUCACUUUAAGCCUAUUUUCUAUCAAGAUAAAAGCUCCAUUUGAAAAUUUUUCCAACAUUAAAGUUGUUCCUAUUUUUCCAAGCUUUCUAGAGAUAUAAAGUUUGCUCCUUGUCGCACCUCGAAAAAAUGGGGAUACGACUACAAAGCGAAACGCGAUCGCAUGCUCGCAAUGAUGGACUGAACAGAGUCGCCACCGAGAUAGUAUUGAACAAAAAUUGGAAAAAAUCUUCAGAGCAAGUUCAAGUAUGACCUGACCCCGGAAUAAAAGCUCAACAACAGGUUCAUACAUGACCUGAAUAGUAUUGAACAAAAAAUUGGAAAAACUCUUCAGAGCAGGUUCAAGUAUGACCUGACCCCGGAAUAAGACAUUUACAAACAGGUCAUAGUAAUGAGCCUGGUGAGAAAUAGGUAUUGUGAAACAAAAUUGGAAAAAAAAAUCUUCGACGCCGGUUCAAUAUGACCGUGCUACUCCCGAGAAUGAUACUCAGACGACAGAUAUCUUAAGAUGACGCUGAAUAGUUUGAACUAACAAGAGAAUGAUUCGAACAGGAUUAUGUAUUGACCGGUCUGAUUACUCGUGUAAAAUUAAUGAGAGCAAUUGACUCUGACCGUAUGUCAUACUGGAAGUGACAAUUCCACCUUUAACGCGACUUUGGCAACAACCAUUGGACUUGAAAAUGGACGCGGAAAACGGUAAAGUAUUUAUGCUCUUAGGUAUUAGGUUCGGCAUAUUCACAAAGAGCAAGGUCAUGGGAAUUGAUAUUAGAGAGCGUGGAAAGGAUCUGACUCGACAACCAUACCUGGCAGUAAGUCAUGCAAAAUGAUUCUGCUGAAGUAUUAUUGUCGAGCUAUGCAAUGAUUUCGAAUACUUCGUUUUGAUGCUCGAUGGUUAUGAAUGAUAUGAUUAUGAGAAUGCUCGGUACAGCUUGUUGCCUGACUGGUGGUUAGUUUUGUAGAGGUGCAUUUAUGUAUGUUAGCCUCUAUGUUCAUUGCACCUCCUCACCGAAAUCUUAUAAUCAAUUUUUAUAUAGAUGUUGUCAAGUCUAGGGACCUUAUCCAGUUGAUGGCCACAGCUAGCCAACGGAUGCGUUUGGAGAUAAUGAAUCCGUAGCCAUGAAUGCGGGCAUUGUCUUAUAAUUACAAAUAGUUUGAGAAUUGGAGGAAUAUGACAUGAUUUUGAUUGUUUUGAGAGUUGUGAAAGAAGCCUUUUCGCAACCAAGAAAUUAGGUUCUUAACCCGAUUAAUGUGCUUAAUCAUUUGCAUCGAGUGUUGUUGGGGACUUUUGAACGAUGUUUUGUUCACUUUGACAAUGUUUGGUAUUGUGUGAGAACAAGCACAUUCGCAAUUGCGAAGGUAACUCAGAAGANNNNNNNNNNNNNNNNNNNNNNNNNNNNNNNNNNNNNNNNNNNNNNNNNNNNNNNNNNNNNNNNNNNNNNNNNNNNNNNNNNNNNNNNNNNNNNNNNNNNNNNNNNNNNNNNNNNNNNNNNNNNNNNNNNNNNNNNNNNNNNNNNNNNNNNNNNNNNNNNNNNNNNNNNNNNNNNNNNNNNNNNNNNNNNNNNNNNNNNNNNNNNNNNNNNNNNNNNNNNNNNNNNNNNNNNNNNNNNNNNNNNNNNNNNNNNNNNNNNNNNNNNNNNNNNNNNNNNNNNNNNNNNNNNNNNNNNNNNNNNNNNNNNNNNNNNNNNNNNNNNNNNNNNNNNNNNNNNNNNNNNNNNNNNNNNNNNNNNNNNNNNNNNNNNNNNNNNNNNNNNNNNNNNNNNNNNNNNNNNNNNNNNNNNNNNNNNNNNNNNNNNNNNNNNNNNNNNNNNNNNNNNNNNNNNNNNNNNNNNNNNNNNNNNNNNNNNNNNNNNNNNNNNNNNNNNNNNNNNNNNNNNNNNNNNNNNNNNNNNNNNNNNNNNNNNNNNNNNNNNNNNNNNNNNNNNNNNNNNNNNNNNNNNNNNNNNNNNNNNNNNNNNNNNNNNNNNNNNNNNNNNNNNNNNNNNNNNNNNNNNNNNNNNNNNNNNNNNNNNNNNNNNNNNNNNNNNNNNNNNNNNNNNNNNNNNNNNNNNNNNNNNNNNNNNNNNNNNNNNNNNNNNNNNNNNNNNNNNNNNNNNNNNNNNNNNNNNNNNNNNNNNNNNNNNNNNNNNNNNNNNNNNNNNNNNNNNNNNNNNNNNNNNNNNNNNNNNNNNNNNNNNNNNNNNNNNNNNNNNNNNNNNNNNNNNNNNNNNNNNNNNNNNNNNNNNNNNNNNNNNNNNNNNNNNNNNNNNNNNNNNNNNNNNNNNNNNNNNNNNNNNNNNNNNNNNNNNNNNNNNNNNNNNNNNNNNNNNNNNNNNNNNNNNNNNNNNNNNNNNNNNNNNNNNNNNNNNNNNNNNNNNNNNNNNNNNNNNNNNNNNNNNNNNNNNNNNAUCAAAUGAUUAACAAAAAUCGUUUGGAGUCAAGUUAACACAACCUUGUUAUAGUAUGCUUUCAAAAUAAACCCUGCCUCAAUUAGGUCUUUUAAGGGUUGUAACGUGGUCUGGUUCACGGUUUUUUUUGAAACAAAAGGAUAUAAGGCUCAAAAUUUAUUUUUACCCACCCCUUCUUCUUGAUGAUCUCCAAUUCCUAUGUUCAGUUAAUUCAAUACACGCAUUCGACUUCCAAGAGGGUUCGAAGGUGUGAUGAGGAUUCAAGACGAAUUUUCUUGAAAUGGCAAUCACCUUAUUUUUUUGUUUUGUUGAGGAUUUUGGUGACCUCUUUUGAUUGGUUUUCUUUAUUCCCUAAUUUUGCCUGAACCGCUUCUUUGAAGCUUUUGGUCCAUCGGGAUGCCCUAAAUUUUGCCUAAGUCAUCUUGUGGUAUUUGACCUAGUGGGCUUUUUUCUAUUUUUUUUAGAGGUGUUGACUGCCACAUUAUUGGUGGAUGAGGAUCAACCAACAUUAAUUUUAUCUUUUCUCAACUUCUUCGACACUUCAACAUGUGCGCGAAGGAUAACAUGUGGUUGAACCUAAUUGGAGGGUGUUCAUAUGGACGAUUUUUUUUUUGAAAGAUCGAAUGCAUGAUCAAACUAUCUGAACACAACUACCCUCCCCCAGGUUAAGAUUAAGGGUUUUAGAUCCGAAAUAAACACCAACUUCUAGGCUCAAAGUGGUUGACUAGGGAUUAACUCCUUAUCACUCUAGUGUUUGGGGAUUUGGAACAAUGCCUUACAUCAUCGACAAGGUUUUACUCAAAAGCAUACCACAACAAUUUCAGGUGUUUCGUUUUCAUCAUCCUCCCUCCAAUCUUCGUUAACACAACGGUUUGAUAAACAAACGUGAAUGAGAGGAGUAUUUUUGUUUUUAACAUGAAUGAAAAACGAGUGAAUACGAAUGGAUUAAUUCAAAAGAUGCAUAAACCUUUCAUUAAUCUUACCAAUUCAAAUAAAACAACAAUGUUUAAAAGCAAAUAACAACCAACAUGCAAAGAAACUACAAAAGAAGUGUUGAAACAACCAAAUGAUUGCCAGCUUUAGAGAAUUGACUUCUUCAAACUUGAAGGUUGGGAUCAACAAGCCUUUUGACAUUGGCAUGAUGAUCUUUAAAUUAUUUUCCUUCAAUCUCAUCGUUGAACGCAACCCUAUUGGAUCCACUACUCACUUCUCCUUUUCUUUCAUUGGUAUGGGUCGUGACAUUGGAAAUCCAAGACGGUAUCUCAAUGCUCUUACCAGGAAACAAUGAUAGCUCGUUAGCCACAUCCCUGACAUCUUCCUUGUGGAACAAAAUCUUGAGGGGUUUCAAGGGUCCUUUCCCUUUCUCAUUACCUGGCUCAGAAAUCAGGGUAUAUGUACUUGACCCUUCCUCCUUGAGUGUUGGUGACCUUAUGUCAAUCAAUCCUUGCAGCUUGAGCUUAAAACUCUUGCAUUCCUCGAUGGAGUGCCCCAUUGUCCCAGUAUGGUAUNNNNNNNNNNNNNNNNNNNNNNNNNNNNNNNNNNNNNNNNNNNNNNNNNNNNNNNNNNNNNNNNNNNNNNNNNNNNNNNNNNNNNNNNNNNNNNNNNNNNNNNNNNNNNNNNNNNNNNNNNNNNNNNNNNNNNNNNNNNNNNNNNNNNNNNNNNNNNNNNNNNNNNNNNNNNNNNNNNNNNNNNNNNNNNNNNNNNNNNNNNNNNNNNNNNNNNNNNNNNNNNNNNNNNNNNNNNNNNNNNNNNNNNNNNNNNNNNNNNNNNNNNNNNNNNNNNNNNNNNNNNNNNNNNNNNNNNNNNNNNNNNNNNNNNNNNNNNNNNNNNNNNNNNNNNNNNNNNNNNNNNNNNNNNNNNNNNNNNNNNNNNNNNNNNNNNNNNNNNNNNNNNNNNNNNNNNNNNNNNNNNNNNNNNNNNNNNNNNNNNNGGCUUACAAGCUCUUACAGCUUGAGCCUAAUAUUCGGGAUUACGACUGGAUAUUCCCUCCAGGUAAUCUUUUUCUUCCAACUUUAUUAAGAAGAUGGUUUUGAAUAUUGGAGUGUUAAAGAGAAGACGAAUAUUUAUGGCUUGCAAGCUCUUACAGCUUGAGCCUAAUAUUCGGGAUUACGACUGGACAUUCCAUCCAGGUAACCUUUUUCUUCACGUUUUAUUUAGAAAACGAUUUGAAUAUUAAAUUAAAACAAAUAAAGUACCGAGGUUUGAAAUUAUUGAAAGUUAAGUUCAUUGUAAGAAGGCCCAAGAGUAAGCCAUGUGAGGUUGAUGGCGAUGCUUAAAAAAAGCAAUCGACUUACAAGGGUAUGAAAAUGGGCUCGACAUUGAAUCGAGAAAUAUGAUUUUAAUAGUUUUAAAAUGGUUUUGAAUGAAUGAUGAAAUUAAUAAAAAAAAACAGAUCAACCAUGAGUAUAAUAAAAACAUAAACAUAAAAUGAAAUGCUAAAAGAAAUGAAAUACUAAAGGAAAUACAAAUACUAAAAGAAAUAAAAUGCUAAAAGAAAAUAAAAUGCUAAAAAAGGCCACAUAUGAGUAUUGAACCCACUCCACUUAAGACUAUGGAAACCACCCCUCUCCACCAGGCCAUUUAUCAUUAGUUAUUAUCUUAAUGCUAUUUUAGAUAUAUAAACCAAGAUAGAUUAGACAUUAGAAUAAGAACUAAGAUAAAUAAAAAAUUUGUUGGACUACCAGGAAAAUGAACAAAAAUCAAACCCAGCCGCUUGGCUGUUGGGUUUUAGAGUUAAUGGAUUGGGAAUAAUAAAAAGUGAAAUUAUUAUUAAACAAACAAAAUUAAUAUCCACUGGGAAUACUAAAGAGUCAUUUAAAUUUCCAAAAAAAAGAUUUUAAGCACUCCUAAGGUAAAUAAUAAAAAAAGAAAAAUGAAAGAGCUAGCUUCGGUGAACAGAACUCUUCUCCUCUCAAACUCUCCAUCGCCCUCAUUCUGUACCACACACCACUCACGAACUCAUCUCUCGAACUCUCCAUCGCCCUCACAACUCACAAUCUCACUCAAUCGUUACCAUCACGUCUCUCGUCCUCAACCUUCCUCAAUCAAUCCGUCCCCCAUCGCUCUCGCGUACCACACAAUCUCUCUCACUCUAAAAUGCAAGGGUCCAAGGUUUUUUUAAGGAGAAACAAGAAGAAAGAGGCCCACCUUUGGCGAAAACGACGGAGACGAUGAAGCCUAAAACUCACUCCUACGCCUCUUCAAACCAGGUCUGAUUUUGGGAUUUAGGAUUUUUUGAUUCUUUUCUGCCUCCACUUUUCGUUUUCGAAUUCUUGCCGUCGAAAGAGCAACUUUAGGUUUUUUCUGUUUGUCCGCCUCCCUCUUGUUUUCGAAUCCCCCCUCUCUGAAUCGCUUUUUCUCUUUUAUCCUCACAGAUUAGGGUUACAAAGGUCUUCCAAAGGUUCCAAUGGAGAAAAACUCCAAAAGCGCUUUUUGUCUGCUCAGAAACAAAAUUAUCUUGUUUUAUGCUACAAUCCGGAACCGGUACUAUGAACUCCUGCUUUCUCUUUGAAUUUGUCCUUAUGCUCAAUUUGGGAAAUUUUGGAUUCUUACUGUUUUGACUAGUUACUGGUGUUACUGCAGUGAAAAAAAAAUGUUGAAGAUUCAAAGGCGGUUUCGGUUCCGGCUCCGGUUCAACAGUCUGAUGGAUGAUAGCUUCAAUUGUGUACUGGUUUAGAUUUGUUGCUGCAGGAUGUGAGCUUUCUGUUGAAUAUUGUGAUAAGGUGAAAUUCUAAACCUCCCUUGUUGAUUAACAUAACCAUCCUCAAAUCUCACCCUAAAGCAAUGCGUUGAUUUGAUUGCAGGCAUAAAUUGUUGUGGACCAGGGGCACUACCAGCAGGCAUGGAUUGAGUUGGUCUCAUGGUUGGAUUCUGCUGGGAAGGAAGAUAUUGUGAUUUGCAACAGAACCUGGCAAUCCCUGUGAUUGAGGUGGUCUUGUGUUAGCAUUCUGUUGGGAAGGAAGAUAUUGUGGGUUCACAGCAGAACCUGUUAACCCCUGUCCUCUGUAGGCAAGAUUUUGAGUAGACGUGGGUGCGGCAUUCACACCCAUGAUUAUGCACGGCACUUUGUUAGUGCAUGAACUCGCAUUCUCGGACUUGAGGCAACACCAGAAGAGGUUGAGGAUCAAGAGAAACUGGCUCGAGUUGAAGAAAGAUUUAAAGGCAGAAAGGUAAUAUUAGGAUGUUUGGCUCAGAAUAACUGCAAGAACGAAAAAACUGUAUAGGCACAACUGAGAUGCAACUUAUCCCAAAGCCCUUUCUUUUCUAACAUGUCAAACAUUAAUAUUACUGAGAAUUUGAAUGGUUCUUCUACUGUUUCUCACUUGGGAUUUUCUUAUUAUCCUGAUCAUUUUUUUUCUAAUGCAGGAACGGCUUCGGCAACACAAAAUCAGAAAUUGCAAUUACAUCCAAUUUUGGCAAGGUGUAAGGAGUGUCGAAGUGAUCCUUGUAUAGUCCCAAAGUUUCCACAGCAACAUCAAGUGCAAAUUCCCCUUGGUUUGCCUUGCAGACUUGACAAUACACUCGGACUUUGACCCCGUCGGGAGUAUGAUCUUCCACGUUAUCAAACAAACCAACGACGACAGCAACCAAAUAUGUUGACAUGAUUGGUGAUUCUUGAUACGAAACAGUUUUGAGAUUGUCAUUAAUUCAGCAACUGGUAUGUUGGAAAGAGCAACAGGGUCGGAAGGCACAUCCAAUGUAAUCUUGAAAGUGGCCUUGCAAGCAGGUUCAUCCCAACAAGGAAAGCAUCGUCUGGCAUCCGCUGGUCCAAACUGUGCAACCGCCAUAUUCCUCUUCUCACCAUUAUGCUCAUAUUUGCUUCUGUAAAAACCUUUCGUCCCAUCAUUCAAUAUUCCUUCAAACUGAAUAUUCAAUACACCCAAUCCAAAAGGUAUUUCUUCGGAAAACUCCAAUACCCGAAUUUCAUCAUCUUCAACUUUUGUAGGUUAGAAAACUUGUUUGUAAUGACUAAGCUUGGUUGUUCUAUGACAGGUACUAAUGGAUGCAGGGCUAAUCCAUAGCCAUUUCCUGCAGGAUAAUGAUGGUGUGAUGUUGUUGCAAAGCAAGAUGACAUAAGCUGCGACAACAAUAGUGGUUGAACUGUCAUGGAGUUCCUUGACCAACGGUUAGGGAAUUGGUUAGUUAGUUAUGAAUUUUGUUAAUUUGUGGCUUUUGGUCGAUGGUUGAGUUGUGAACUGUUUAGAAAUUUAAUUGUUCAUUCGGUUAGAAGUUGAGAAGUGGUUUGAUGAACAAUUAUGCUAGCACAGUACUAGGCUUCUAAAUUCACUGUGAAUUAACUUCUUUGAACAUAUGACUUUCUUCUACCUGAACCUCAUGGCAAUGUGCUAACGCGUGGUUGUGACUUGGUUGGUUUUGUAGGGUGGUGGAAGUGAACCUGACAUGGGCAAUGCUACUUGUGAAUGAAGGAAACAUGAUGGAAGCAAGCUAACGUGCACCUUGGAGGAUAAAUCAUGACUCAUGGGAAAUUCUUUUGGACAUUCCAUUUGCUUGUUUUUUUUUUGUUGGAUGAUGGAUUAUCAUCAUGCUGUUGUUGGAUUCUUUUUUUUGGGAUGAAUUAUUGGAAUGCUUGGAUUUAUAUAUGAGUUAAUCAUUGUAAGCAUGUGUGGGCUGUAGUUUGGAUGUAGUUUGGAACCAAAUCAAUGCAGUGUAAAGCAUGUAAGACAUGAUUGGAAUUGUAUGGAAAUGUGAAAUGGUGCAAAUGUACUUGAAAUGUUAUUUUGUAAUUUGAUUUUGAAUGAAAUGGGAGUGUAUGAUUAUAUGAUAGUUUUAUAUGAAAUUAGCAUUUUGGAACAUGGAAUGAUAUUGAUUUGAAUUGGGAUUGAAAUAUUGCAUGGCUUAAGUGAAAAUGUGAAUCGUGUAGGUUGGAUCAAGUGAAUGCCAAGUCCAUGUUAUGUUAAGAANNNNNNNNNNNNNNNNNNNNNNNNNNNNNNNNNNNNNNNNNNNNNNNNNNNNNNNNNNNNNNNNNNNNNNNNNNNNNNNNNNNNNNNNNNNNNNNNNNNNNNNNNNNNNNNNNNNNNNNNNNNNNNNNNNNNNNNNNNNNNNNNNNNNNNNNNNNNNNNNNNNNNNNNNNNNNNNNNNNNNNNNNNNNNNNNNNNNNNNNNNNNNNNNNNNNNNNNNNNNNNNNNNNNNNNNNNNNNNNNNNNNNNNNNNNNNNNNNNNNNNNNNNNNNNNNNNNNNNNNNNNNNNNNNNNNNNNNNNNNNNNNNNNNNNNNNNNNNNNNNNNNNNNNNNNNNNNNNNNNNNNNNNNNNNNNNNNNNNNNNNNNNNNNNNNNNNNNNNNNNNNNNNNNNNNNNNNNNNNNNNNNNNNNNNNNNNNNNNNNNNNNNNNNNNNNNNNNNNNNNNNNNNNNNNNNNNNNNNNNNNNNNNNNNNNNNNNNNNNNNNNNNNNNNNNNNNNNNNNNNNNNNNNNNNNNNNNNNNNNNNNNNNNNNNNNNNNNNNNNNNNNNNNNNNNNNNNNNNNNNNNNNNNNNNNNNNNNNNNNNNNNNNNNNNNNNNNNNNNNNNNNNNNNNNNNNNNNNNNNNNNNNNNNNNNNNNNNNNNNNNNNNNNNNNNNNNNNNNNNNNNNNNNNNNNNNNNNNNNNNNNNNNNNNNNNNNNNNNNNNNNNNNNNNNNNNNNNNNNNNNNNNNNNNNNNNNNNNNNNNNNNNNNNNNNNNNNNNNNNNNNNNNNNNNNNNNNNNNNNNNNNNNNNNNNNNNNNNNNNNNNNNNNNNNNNNNNNAAAAAGCCAAAUAAAACCAAUUAAAAUCAAAUUAAUCUAUAAUUUGUUAAAAUUACUUUGAUGUCAAAUUCUAACAUUUAUUUGGAAAUUAAAAAUCAAUUAGAAUUUGAAUCAUUAGUAAAAUAACAAUUAAAUUAAAUUGAAAUUUGAGAAUUAACUUAUUUAAAUAAAAUCAAAAAUUGAAAAAUUCAAAAGUCAAAUGAUUAAAAUCCAUUUUAUAGUCAAAAGUACCAUGAUAGAUGAAGGGGGGCAGUGGACAGGGGGUAGACAAUGAUCAAUGUGUAACAAAAAUAUGGAGUUGGGAAUGAAUGUAUGCAAAUGAACUUUAGGCCAAGUGCCAAAUAAAAAUGAAAAAAUGGAAAAAUUUCAGGGUCAAAAUCGGGGUAUGACACUCCUAUUGGAUUAAAAUUGAGAAAGUUAUGCUUAGUCAAAGUGAGACAUUUUUUUAGGACACUUAGAAAAAUUUCUAAGUCUCAAAAUCUUCAAAGUUUGCCAAGACUUCUUGGCCAGUUUUCUUGCACUUCAAGGCAUCAUUUGAAAAUGUUUUCUUCAUAACAAUUGUACCUAUCCAUGUCCUCUUUCACACUCUUUUGGAAUCAUCUCAUUUGGAUCCAUGGUUUGCGAGAUACAUUCACCUAAAGUGGGCAUCAUGACUUGAUUUUCUAAGCAGCAUUUAGGCCAAACUGACCCAAUCAGUUUUGCAUGGUGAGACCUGAACUUUGAGACCAUAUUUCACCUUCUUCCAUUCAUCAUUUCAACUUGUGCUCAACAUGAAAGAUGCUAUGCUCCAUGAGGUCUUGCUACUGUUUGCAUUAUUUCAUCAUUUGGUGACUUGAUCAUCAAGUUACAUGGCCACAAAGGCACCACCUUGGAAUAUUUUUCUUGCUUGCCAAACCAACCAUGCAUGCUGCACAAACCAGCCCACGUUUUUACCUCUUUUGGCCAUGCACUGGAUAUUCACUCACUUAAAUUUGGCCCAAAACACAAACCUCAUGUGUCCAUUCCUAAUACACCUCACUUUGCAUUAUUUUUCUCAUGGACAAUCAUUAUUCUGAGCCCAUUAAGCAUCUCAUCCACCAUAUUUAAGAGCUAGAAAACCCUAAACCUAAAGAAGGCAUUGGAAUUUCAUGGCAAGAAAGGCAAGGUCAGAUUCCAUUCUUCUCAUCAAGCUCUCAAGUUGAAGAUUCUUGAAGCAUCAAGGCAGCCUCAUCUUCUUCUAUUUCUCUCCAUAACCAAAGGGCAGUGGACCUAACCUCCACUAGGUAAUCAUCUUGCUUCUCUUCCAUGGCCAUGUAUUGAUAUACCUAUGCUUAUUAUUGUUCACCAUGCUAUUUAUAUGCUUGCUUACCAUGCUCAUCAUCAUGCUUUCUUCCAUGCUAAUCAUGUUAUGCUUGUUUUUUGAAGCCCUCAACAUGAGGCAAUGUUCAUGUUAUGGAUUUAUGCUGUUAUUUUAUGUUCAUAUUCGUGCCCAUAUUGACAUCUUAUUGUCAAUAUUUCUCCAUGAUCAAGCCAUCAUUUUACUCAAACCAAGUUACCAUGAUAAUCUACACAUUUCAUACUUGAGUUUUGGAUUUUAUUUCACGUCAUUUGAUGCCCUAUGAUGGUCGUAUUAUUGAGUGGAAGUUUGAAAAAAUCACUACAUGAGCUGUAUUUUCGUGACUGCAUGGCGCCAGGGUUUGUUCCAUGAGGAAGACGGUGACGUGUCACCUUAAGAGCCAUUGGAUCCUUGGCUUAUGUUUUAAUCCUGGUCGUGCAAGCUGUUUUGUCUUUUAGUCACUUAUAAUAACAUGACCAAUUGAUAGGAUGUCACAUGAUUUGUUUUAAUAAAAUGUACAUUUCAUUGUGUCACACGCCCUAAUUUAAGGGUUGUGGACUGGGCCUUUGCGCCUUCUGCUUUCAACACCUCCCUUUCAGGGCCCAUCACCAUUAAUCCAUCCCUUUUCAAUCUCUUUUUUAAUUCCAUUUUUAUUUCUAUUUUAAUUUUAAUUAUUUAAAAUAUUUUCUUUACCCAUAAAAUUACCCAAAAAUAUUUUCCAUUUUUCUUAAUGCCUUAUUUAAUUUUAUUUAGUUUUUAUUUUCGUAUUUAUUUAAUAUUAAUAUUUUAUUUUAAUUAUAUAUUUUAAAUGGUCCAUUUUAACACAUUUUUUUCUUGAUUUUAUUUUUAUGACUUAAAAUUAUUUUUAGCAUUUGAUUUUUGGGAUGAAGGUUGACCAAUGUCUCAUGGUCAACCUGACCUUUUCUUGGAAUUUUAUUUCCCAUUUUCAAUUUAUUUUGGAUUUAUUUUUGACCUAGUUUGGUUGUUUGACUUUUGGUUUGACCUUUGUUUUAUUUCAAUUUAUUCACAUACCAAUUUUCAUUAUUUUUAAAAUCUUUUUUGGGGAUGAUGAUGUCCUGACCCCACCUUAUUUAUUUUUUCAUAAUUUUAUUGAUUAAUUCACUAUUUAUUUGAUAAUUAUUAAGUUGACUCGAAUUUUCAGUUGACUUCUUUAUGAUCGAUGUUUGACUUAGGGAUUGCUUAUGGCAAUUGAAGAGAUCUUUUGAUCCUCCCUUGCUCAUCUCAUAUGCCAUGUAUUAGAGGCCUUUCACCUUGAUUUUAUUUUAUCCUUACCUCAUUUCCUGAUUUAAUUAUUCAGUGGAGCCUUUUGUGCAUUUCUCUUCAUCUGUCUGAUUCAUCUAUCAUCUUUUAUACUUGUUUCUUUCAUCCAUGAUUCUAUUUGUUUGAUUGUUUAACAUGUUCAUACUUCCCAUGCAUUGUUUAAUGUUCCAUUAUUUGAUUCUUUGGUUUGAUUAUACAUUUGUUUAAUUAUCUGAUUUGAUUGAUAAUUGUUGCCUACUUGUAUGAUGUAUGAGGCAUAUAUUCUUAUUGUUUGAUUGCCAUGAACAAUCCCCAUUCAUAACAAAUGUACCCCUCUUCCGUGAAGUGUAUAAUGUUUAUUCUUUCAUUCUUUAUUCAUCUGUUAAUACAAGAAUUAAAACGAACAUCCGAUAAUCAUUUCAAAACAAGAUCAAAAGCUCGAUCCAACAUCGAGUAAUCAUUUUCAAAAUUAACAGAACCAACACGUAUUCAUCCAUCCUUUUGUAAGUCGAUUGCUUCAUGCAUCGCCAUUUCUCUUGUAAGUCGAUUGCUUCAUGCAUCGCCAUCUACCUGUAAGUCGAUUGCCUCUGGCAUCGUCAUCUACCCUUAUCCGUGGCUCCUCUCCUUGCUCCAUCCGUCGACUCUUGUUCCGUUUAGGUAGUACCCAUUAGGUAGAACCCUUUGUAUGAUAACAUAGGUAGAAUUCCCUUAUUCUUUACAUGCUAACAUUAGGUAGAUGUUCCCCUCUAUAAAUCCUAACACAUAGGUCCACAUUGCAUGACAACUCUAGGGCAGAGCUUCCCCAUUUUUAGACCUUCCGUGCGUCUCCGAUCUUGUGGCAUGUCAGUCCAUUCUAUUGCAAAGAGGUAACUGCCUAAGACUCAAUUCAGCGAGUUGCGACACCUACUGCUAGGACGUUGAACACAUUGCCCACUUUCCUUUGACACAGUUGGUGUCCUCUUUUGUAAGUCCAUGUUCAUAUGGCAAUCCUUAACCCCUAGUUAGCCGAACUACGGCAACUCUGAUUCUCAUGUUCAGAUGAGAUACGUAGGCACAAGACGCGAUGUCUUGCCGAGUUUUGACUGACGACUAACAACUAAUCCUUGCUUGCUUUCUCCCUUGUUGCGAUUAUUUUCUCUUGCCCUAGUUGCAAUCGAGACCCUUGUUCCCGUAGUUAGCUGAACUACGUUUUGCUCUGAUUCUCAUUCCAGAUGAGAUACGUAGGCAUAAGACACGAUGUCUUAGCGAGCACACUUCUCUUUAGCCCAUAGGUAGCCGAGCUACGAAGACUCUGAUUCUCAUACUCAGAUGAGAUACGUAGGCAGUAGAUGCGACAUCUUUGCGAGUCAUUUUCUUUUGACCUUCCUUUAGCAGAUAGUACUUUUUAGAUAUUCCUACACCCUUUAGACUAGAACAACAAGAGUGGAUCCCGUAGAGUACUACAGAUGCGUAGGGGUGCUAAUACCUUCCCUUUGCAUAAUCGACUCCCGAAUCCUAGAUUUGGUUGCGAGACCUUGUCUUUUCCUUCUCUUCAGGUUUUCUUCGAUCGUUUCCUUUCCCUCCUUUGGGAUAAAUAACGAACGGUGGCGACUCUUCUGUUUUUCUUUCUCGCCGGUUGUUCUUUUCGCACCAGUUGCGACAACUGGCGACUCUGCUGGGGAUCCGGUUUCCCUAUGCGAGUCUCUCCUAGCUUUUGUGAGUUUCUUGUUUUUUGGGUGUUUAUUCUUUUGUACAGUUAUUUACUUUCAACAUUUAUCUGCUUUAUCUUAUUGCAUUGUGUACAUAUGAUUGUUGUAUCUGUUGGAUCUGUGGGGUUGGUUGUUUGUUGGGGUGAGUUGUUCUAUGAGAGAUAAGCCCACUACCCAGGCUUGAGCGUACACACAGGUUUUAGAGUGGAUAGUCAUGAGGCUUGCGUAGUAUGUUUCUACGUUAAGUCGUUCAUGAAAACCCACACCCAGACGAGGUUUCUUUUGGAUAUAUUCUGUCCUACAAGUGUUCCGUAACGACACGACGUUCCUUUAGAAAUCGUCGACUCUGAUGACCAUUUCCCGAGGACUCAGUUGAGGCCUCUCCUCCGAGACGCGGUUAUGUUAGCUCUGGUGGGCGCAUUCUCGCUGCUCAAUCCGAGGACCCCGAGGCUGGGAACUUGCUUUUAGGAUGUCCGGUUGAGUGGAGUCAGUGGAGGUCUUUUGUCUCGUAAUAAUGCCAAACCUUCAGUGGUAAAUAUAUUAUUCUCGACUGAAGGGCUGGAAGCUGGCAAACUUCUGUUCUUAGAACCUACCAGUGAGGGGCGGGCUAAAUUCAGAAAACCUUAACCUUCAACCAACCCGGUUUUCUGGUAUUCUUGUUGGAGCAGAACUUUGAUCUCUUAUAUGUUCCUCAGUGGUUUUCUCUUCAGACAGUGCGACCUGACAGUUGUUCAAGCAGAUGCAGCAAUCCUGAUUCCCAUGUCACUGCAUUGCAUCAUAUCAUUUUGCAUUCAUAUCAUUUAACACAUGUUUAUCUACUCCCAGGGGUUUAUAUCUUCUUCUUGAUUCUAGUCGGGGUUUUCUGGUACUUUUAAAAUGGAUAUUUUUCCUGAUGUGAGACUGGAAUCAAUGGGUAGAAUACCCUUUGGAAUUGAUAAACAUGUCAUUGCAUUUGCAUAUUCAUUAGCAUGUCUUGCAUAACAGGUACCGUCGUAGUGUUCUCCUUUUGUUUGGUAUUCCACUAGCAGGAUAGCUGACUCAGGAAUUCACCGAUACGGUACCCGAAGGAAUCAACAAAGAGCAAUGGAAGGUCUACAAGCAGAGCUCACUUUUGUUUGGUAUUCCACUAGCAGGAUAGCUGACUCAGGAAUUCACCGAUACGGUACCCGAAGGAAUCAACAAAGAGCAAUGGAAGGUCUACAAGCAGAGCUCGCUGAGAUGAGGAUUCACAUGAAUCAGUUCAUGGAAGUGGUCCAAGGAGUGGCUCAGGGACAGCAUGAGCUUAGAUUGUUGGUACAGAGGGAUCCCCUACUACUCAACCGGAGGUUGUGGCUGAUCCUCCAGCUGGAGAGGCUAACGGACCCAACGGACCAGGGCCUAUCCCGAUCCCACGUGUCAACCUUGAUCAACAACCCAUCCAUGAUGAUCAGGAGGAUCAGUUCCCCCUGCUUCAGGAGGACUUUGGCAUGGGUCAUGGUAUGGACCCUAUGUUUCGGAGACUGGAAGAGAGGUUGAAAGCUAUGGAAGGGCAGAAUGCUCUUGGUGUGGAUGUUGCUGACUUGGGGCUGGUCCCAGGUGUGAGAGUUCCACCAAAAUUCAGAGUCCCUGUUUUUGAUAAAUACAAUGGAAACUCUUUCCCGAAGACUCAUGUGCAAGCUUACUUCCGCAAGAUGGUUGCGUAUUCUGAUGAUGAGAUGCUGCUCAUGUACUUCUUUCAGGAUAGUCUAGCCGGGGCAUCCUUGGAGUGGUAUAUGAGGCUGGACAGAGCCCAUAUUCGCUGUUGGAGAGACUUGGUUAAAGCCUUUGUGAAGCAGUAUCAGUACAACGCAGACAUGACACCUGACAUGACUCAACUCCAGAACCUGUCUCUCAAGAGCAACGAGUGCUUCAAAGAGUAUGCUCAACGCUGGAGAGAGAUAGCUUCCCGUGUUCAGCCUCUGAUGUUGUAAAAAUAGAUGGCCAACAUGUUUAUGAACACACUACCUGGAUCUUAUUUGGAGCGUCUGGUGGGUUGCAACGCCUCGAAUUUCGCUGAUGUGGUCUCUACCGGUGAGAGGGUGGAGAACUACUUGAAGACGUGUAAUAUCCAAAAUGGGGUUGGAUCAUCUUCUGGGUCAAAGAAGCAGUUCUUAGAAGGACAGAAGAGGAGAGAAGGGGAUGCAAAUGCUGUGUCUUCUUAUCAGAGCAGAGGUAACCGAAGGAGCAGUUUUCAGAAUUACCAUCAGCAACCUUAUGUUGCAGCUGUGACCAUUCCGGCUGCAACACCAGUGCAACAACAACAACCUCAACGUCAACAAAAUCAAUACCAACAACAAUAGGGUAACAUACCUGCUUAUCAACAGAGACAAAGGAUGAUGGAUAGGUGUUUCGACACUCUUCCGAUAUCGUACGCCCAAUUGCUUCCCAACCUUCAGCAAUUGCAACUUGUGCAGUUACGCACUUUGGCUCAUCCUAUUGGCAGGCUUCCAGUGGGUUAUUGUUAGACUAUGGCACGGAUCUAGAAGGGGGGGUUGAAUAGAUCCCAAUUAAAAAUUGAGUCGGCGCUACCAAUUAAAAAUUGGUUUUGAAAAUAUAGUCUAAAACGAACGGUUAUUGGAAAACCGGAUAUGCGUCUAGCCUAUGGAUUAGUGAUAAUGUGGAAUAAGAAUCACUACACUAGUCACUCCUUCAAUUAUUUAUUUCACUUGCUAGGAUUCCUAGUUCCAAUGAUUCAAAGAGCAAACCAAACUAGAUACACAACUAAGAUAAUUUUGGUUUAGGCAAAUUAUCAAACACUUGGUGUGUAAAAACACUCCAGUUGAUAUUUAUGUUAAGUAAGUGAUUCCAAUUAGUCUAGUACGUAUCUUAUGUACUUUGGAUUUAAAAAACAGAGUUUUAACUUCUUACUCAAUUAAUAUCAAGGUUUGAUAAAAAGUGCUAUACAAAAAUCACUUAAUUUAACUAAAACAGAUAAUGCUGAAAAAAUAGAGAAGACAAGAUUGAUGAGGCAGGUCCCCCGCCUCGCUUCGGGGUACGUCUGCCUCAAUUCCUAAAAUAGAAUGAUGAUUGUUUAUAGAUAUCACCUGUUGGAGUUUAACCGUUUUAUACAGGAUUGCAAAGCAAAUAUACAACAGAACUCCAGAACGUUGAUGUUGCUUCACUCUUGUUCCUUGAUCAAGGUGAAAUCAAGGUUCCCUUCGAUUGUUGUAGUUGAGACUUUCGAUUCAGCCUUGUUGAAUAACCCUCAGUUUUUCCAAACCCUCGGCCGGCUGAUUCUCACUACAACAAAUCUGACCCGAAAUCUUCCUCAAUAUCACUGAAUUCCGCUACCUAGAUGAGAAGACCUCUUCCUCUCUCAAUCAUCUUAAGCCUCAGCUGCUAUUGAUGUAGAAUCGUACCAAUAACCCCCCAAAACAAACCAGUCUGGAGGGACACAAUCCUAACGGUUUAUUCAAGAAAAAAGCCUGUCGCACGCUUCAACCCGAAACGGAUCCCAAUCAGGCUUCAAUGUUUCACUUUAAAUCCAUCUAAAGCACUUCAAAAUGGUGUGUGUAUUGAUGUGUUGUGAGAUGUUGAAGAUGAAAGAUGAAGAUCUUGGACACCUAUUACUUGUUCUUGAUCUUUGAACACUUGAAUCAAUGACAAAAUGUUGGUUGAUACAGUAACUAAACUUUAUUUAUAGUAACAAACAACCAACCCACUUAACAGCUUUUCAACUAUAGUGGAAAUACGUAAAAAACUGAAUUUGCGGCACGAAUCGGUUCGACCAUAGGCGGGUCUAUGCGUCGAAGGCAUAGCUCGCAGUUUUGGACAGGCUGAAAAGCACCAGUAUGGUCGACUAUAGGUGGCGUGCGCUGACCCGUGGUUAGCGCUGACCGCCUUGCGGUCUGACUCAAGCAUUUGUGUCCGACCGUGGGAAAUGCAUCUAUGUUAUGCGCGACCCGUGGGAAAUGCACUAUGUUAUGCGCCGACCUUGCUGGCGACUAAGACCCUGUAAAUCUGCAACAAAUCUAUAUUUUUGUGGUUUUCAUGCAUUUUGUCAUGACCCACAUUUUUAUCACAAUAUGUUUGUAUGAAAUAAUACAGUUUAGAUGGCAUAGAAAAGGCAUAGUGAUAUGAAUUGUUGCAUUUGUUCUUUGUAGAGGUGGAAUCGACAAUGCUGAUAUCAUCCAUCGGCGGUACAUUAUGUCAUCAUCGAAACGCUAUGAUCGUUUGUGUAUGACAUCUUUGCCCUUACAUACUCCCCCUUUUGAUGAUGACAACCUGUGUGAAACGCAAGGAGAAAAACAUGCGAUUGUAUCACAUCACUCCCUUUCUUUUGUAAUCUAAGUUGGCUAUCAGAAACAAACUGUUAGGUUGAUUGUGGAAUAUCUUGGCUUGGCUUUGGUUUGGUAGACAUGCUCUUCUCCCCCUUGACAACUAUCAAAAGAGAAAAGAGAACUAUUAUUAACAUAAGAUAUAUUCAAAGGAGAAUAACGAAUCAUAUAAUAAGACCACACCAAUAUUACUAUUGGAACAAUGAAAUGAGAUACAUUAAACUAGGUACAAACAAGCAUAACAGAUAAUAAGUUUAGUCAAACAACAAAAUACAGAUGCAAACGUGCAGUUUUAAUGCCCUAAUAGGCCUCGCUCGAUGGUAACCAAUAUCGCGGUUUUGUCAGGGAUUCUGCCAAAGAGUCAUUUGUUAGAACACUACUUAGAUCUUGAGACCCACAUCUGACGGACCGCUCCUGUCGUUCAAAUGUUUCGGUGAAUGCUGCAUACCGUUCAUUCAUGCUGGUAGAGAGGUUAUCGAUCCUCUCAUUUUGUGCUUGAAGCUGGCUGCAUAUAUGAGCAUAGCGCUCAUCCUGAGUUUGUAUGAAUGAUUGUUGAGCCAGCUGCAUAUUUCGCAUCAUAUCUAAAGGUUCAGAAGAGUUUUCUUGCUGCGGAGGAGACGGUGGAGAUUCUUCAGCACCAUAUUGAUACGGCUGAUAGAAUUGGCGUUGUGUUGACCAGCCCAUAUGUUUCCAUUCACCCUAGCCACCAUGGUUGGGGGCAUCCUCUUCAGUUGAAUAUGUAUUCUGAACUCAAGCGGUGUUUGUGUAGUUGUGAGUGUCUGCUUGUUGAGGACUAUCGUGCUGCUCUGUUCCUUCUUCUUCGUUUUGCUCUUGGUCUUCUUCUUCACUUUCAUCACUUUCAUCAUGUUCUUCAACAGUCGUAGGAAUAUACCCUCUGCGAACAAAUUUGUAUAUUCUCCGCUCAUCACACCAAAAAUAUCCCAUCAUAGAGUUUCAAAAACCCGACUUAAGAAAUAGACUCCUUUAUCUCCAUUACGGAAAGGACGGAUAAUCAACGUCGGCUGCAGUAAGAACCUCUUGAAUAAAAGAUCCAUAGGCAAGAGCCGUUCCUCGUCCGAAGUCUCGUAAACUGAACAUCCUACUAGCAAUGUAGUAGGGCCAGUUGAUUUUGCGCUAAUUUUUCAGAAUGUAUAUGAGAUGAACCUCAGCCUGUUCAACUCGGGAAAGGCCACCCUUCUUAGGUCGCAGGAUGCGUGACACAAUCCACUGGAGAAUGCGCUCACCUGGUUUCAGCUUACCGGCAGUGACAGUUCGUGGGAACGCAUCACUGUUCACAAUGUGGUUUGGGUAGGGUCGUUUCAGCAUAGCGUUCAAAACGCUCUUAAAAUCAUAUCCUUCUAUUGUGUGAGAAUCAGUCACCUCAGAAAGAGGAUUUUCAUCAGCAGCCAAUGUCAUAUCAAAAUAUUUAUUCCAAACAUUAGACUUAAACGAUACCUUUAUUGUGCCGAUCCUGGAGUGAAACUUUUGCCCACGAAAUUUGUCAUGAACCCAAGUGUAGAACAGACAGACCAGGUCUUCGCUAUAUUUGGCAUUGCAUUCCAGGAAUUUAAUAAUGCCGUGAUACUGUAGCAGAGACAUGAUUUCUACGAGAUGCAUACAUUCUGCUGUGAGUUUGUAGAAGGCAUGUUGCCUCACAACUCCUCUUUUACCAAUGUCUUUGUUGAAGGUGUCGACAAGAGCCGGUGGAACUAAUGAUAUAGCGGUAAUGGGUAAAGAGGCAGAGGAUGAUUCCCUUGAUCUCUUACCGGUAGGUCUGCGGGAUGAGGAAGCCAUUGGUAAUGAUUUUGAAGCUUUUUGUGAGGGUAGAGAUAAAGUAUUUUCCGCAUGCAUUAUCAAGACUCGUAGAAAACACAGUUGCAUUCGGAUACUCAUUCUAAUCUAUAAACUUUACUUUGGUCCAAAUUUGUAUUAACAGGUACUCACUUCCAUACUAAGGGUGUCGUUAGAACACAAAGUCACAAUGUUGCAACCAUAAGUCUCCCUCCUAUACAAACCAAUUUGAAUCAUGUUGUCAUGCCUAAACCUACCUUACUAAACCUUCUUUUUAUCCUUUUUCAUUCUGGCGCAAUCACAUUAAGCCCGUUAUCCUUUCACAUUCAUAGCAAGAUAGUUUGUUAGUGACUAUAAUUUCAUCAUUAUUUCUUUCUUUCUUUUUUUGCACUUUUGGCUCAAAUAACAUUUGAAGUUGGUUAUACCGUUGGGCUAAAUGACCGGGUGAGGGUCACCUAACUUAGAGGGAACAACGUUUUUCAUACAUUUUGUAAUUUUUUCUUCUUUUAAGCCUGAAAAUCAUACACUUAUUUGCAUCGACUUCUUGCGUAGUGUGUGCUUAGGAUGGUGCUGACUGCUAGAUAAACUACUUAAGGAAAUAUUAAAGGGUAGAAUUUAAGGCUAUGGCAUGACAAGUACUCAAAUCGAUCUAAUAAUUGGGAGAUUUAAGGUAUUAAAGCGAUACCGAUCUUAUAAAGCUUUUCCAAAUCUCUACAAUUCAACCUCGGUUUGGUUUAUAGUUCAGAACUUUCAAAAGAUGCACUGUAUUUUUAAGUCUAGAUUUUUGCAAAAAAAAAUUGUAUGGCUCAAGUAAACAGGAGAAUUAGUAAACAGCGGAAACUACGCAUAAAGACUCGACAACACAUUGAUAUUUAACUCGACUGACACUUUAAUAAAAAUUAAAAUAACCAUAAAAAUUAUAAAGUAACAAAAAGAAAUGGCAAUAAUAUAAAUCUAACUAGAAAGCGGUAAAUUAAAAGCGGUAAAUUAAAAGCGGUAAAGCUUCCUCCCUCAUACUUAAAUCUUGCAUUGUCCCCAAUGCAAUGACAUAAGAUAGUAAAGAAAGGUAGAACCUGGUUUAUUCUGCUACUGACGCCUUCUGCCACGUGUACGUGGACGUCCACCGUUCCCUGGCUGGUGAGGUGGCGUAUAGUUCUGGAGAUCUUCCACACGCACUGUCAGUGUUGCCAUUUCACCGAUCAAGCCAGACAUGUUUUGUUCGGUCCUGAAGGUAUAGUCGUGUUGAUCAUGCUGCAUUUAGCAUAGGAGUUGCAUCAUUUCAGUUUGCUGAGCUCCCAUGGUUUGGAGUUGUAGGUCUCGUUGGGCGUCUACAAGAGUGGUUGUUGCCACAUUUCUUCUUGGUCUCUGACUGGAAGAUGUACCUGCAACAUUUUCAAAUGAAGUGCGUGUGGUGUGCGGGUCAGUAGCGGGAGCAGUUUGCUCUGGAAUGUGAUCCUCAGCGGUGUCCCCGUCAGCAGCUACAUUCUCAGGAAUGUGCGCGGGGACUUGGUUAGGCACUGGAUCAUUUGUAUAACAAUAAUUAUUCGGGUUGCGCACAUCUUUGCAAUUUUGGAUUUGGGAGGAUAAAUUCUUGUAACACAUUAUUAACAAUUAUUAAAUUAAAUUUACCGUCAAUCCUUCGUUUUACUAGUUUCAUGCUCCUUGCCAUGUCAAUGUCAAUGACAUGAUGUGGGAGCGGGGUUAGUCUGGAGAUUUUUUCUUCGAGUCCUAGGACUCUGGCUAUAGAGGUUAUUAAACCUCCACAAAUAAUCGGGCCUCGCUUUGCAUUGAUAAUGGCUUGCAUGUGAGAUAGUAUAAACGGGAUGGUAUUCACCUUUUGUGGCAAAAAUAUGGUGCACGCCAAUAUAUAGCAGUAUAAACGGGCCUGGCUAUAGAGUUCUUUUUUGUUCACCUUGUUCGAAUUUGCUUGGCCAAAAAUGGUGCACGCCAAUAUUUGGCGGAAAUAUCGAAUAGCCGGAUUUUGAAUUAAAGUGGCUCUGUUUCCCUCAAAACUAUGGGUUACUGUACCGGUUAUUACCCUCCAAAAUGGUUGGAAAGCGCGUUGCCAACCCUCAGUAUCUGGGACCUCACUUACUACACCAUCCCCAUGGGGAAAAUGUAGCAGGUCCGCUAAUUGGGAAAAUGUAAGGGCAUAUUAAACGUUAAAUAAGCGAAACUGGACAGUCCCACUGGAGCAGUUUGUGCUAGGUGUGGGACUAAAGAUUAAUGAGCUUAGGAAUUCUAAUGUUAGUUGAGCAUAGACAGGGUCCUUUGAGAGAUAGAAAAUAAUGCAAGUUUAAAAUAUCUAGCAUAUAGUUAACACUAUUUUGAAUUCCUAAGGCAUAUAAACAGUGUUCAUCGGCAUACCUUGUCGGUUCGAUCUUUCUGGCGCUUAGAGACAUGUACAUCUCCUCUUGUAAUUCGUUCGGCUCGCCGUUUCUGAACACUAUUUUGUAUUCCCUCAUCUGUGCCAUAAUGGAUUUUUCACCCCUUGUGUAAUAUAGUGAGAAUAGAGCAAGAGAGGAGAGAAAUAUGUGAAUGAGAGUUGUGAAUUGUUUAGGUAAUGUGGGUGGUUUAUAUAGAGGUGAAGGUGGUUGGAAAAUUAAUUGGUAGGUAAAUAGCAUUAAUCAUAUUCAAUGCCUUGGUCCACGAGAUUUGAAAAUUGGUUGAAUGGCUUUAAGCAUUGACUGCAUGCAAGGAACAUUUCAUUAAAGGUGAGUUGAAUGGACCAAAACACACAGCCUGUGCGUGCAGGCUUGUGUAGUGGCCUGCGCCACUUUUGGUGUGUGUGACGGGCGCCACUAGGGCCUUAUGGCGGGCGCCAUAACCCUCACAUGGGCGCCACAACUGUGUGUGGCAGGCGCCACAUACAGUGUGGUUUCCCAUGCGUGUAGUGUGUGUGACGGGCGCCACUAGGGCCUUAUGGCGGGCGCCAUAACCCUCACAUGGGCGCCACAACUGUGUGUGGCAGGCGCCACAUACAGUGUGGUUUCCCAUGCGUGUGCUUUUAUUUUUUUUUCUUUGACCAUGCAAUUUUUAAUUUACCAAUAAAUAUAGUGUAUGGGAAUAGAAAAACAUGACACAUUGGAAUGGAAUUUAAUCGCAAUUUCGACGAGUAAAAGAAUCGGGUAGAUGGGAAAAGAUGAAAUAAUAUGUCUAUUAAAAUAAAAGGAAAUGAAGUAAUUAAAUAAAUUCCACUGUAUAAAAGUAAACAACAAUAAAAUUCCAACAUGAAAAUAAAAUAAAAUGAAAGUCAGUAAACCGGUAACUCUAUAGUAAAUCAGCCAUUACAGCGACUGCUGGUAGGAGGAGCGAACGAGUAGAAGUGCUGGUAAAUGUGAUCCAGGUUCUCUAUCACAACAUCCAUAAAGUCAUGGAAUUCCAUGUGUAGGGUGCUCAACUCGCCUCUCAGAUUGGCGACAUAUGUCUGAACAGCUUCGAUGGCAGCAACAUGAUCGGUGAGAGGUGCAACAUGUUGGUGUAAGCCCUAGAGGCCAAUACUUUUGGUACUUGUAUCGAAUUAUUUAUUAAUUAUUAAAAGGCUUUUUCUUUAUUAUGUUUGAUUAAUAAAGUCCCUAGAAUAGCUAGUAUGUUUAAUGUAUCAAGUAUGACUUAAUCAUGAGAUCACAUUAAACAUAAGGACACUAUUCUUAAAGUAUCCGUAGUCGAGCUUUAUUAUGAAGUGGGAUAACAUUAAAGCAUUAAGACUAUUAUGUUUGUUAGACUAUUGAUAACAUUCUCAUGGAUCAUGGAUAAAGAGUUAUCAAGUCUUAAACAUAGGUAUGAAUGUUAGGAGUAAUUAUUGUAUACCGGAUUGACCCGCUAUGAGAAUACUAUAUAGAAAGUUAUGCAAAGUGUCAUAAGUUAUUCUCAUGGUGAUAAUUGGUGUAUUCCACUCUUGACCUGAAACCACUAUGGAUCCUAAGAUGUAGAUCGAGUGCUUUAUUGUUGAUCCAACGUUGUCCGUAACUGGAUAACCAUAAAGACAGUUGAUGGGUACUCACGAAGGCAUGCUGAGGGACAUGAGUUGACCUAGAUGGAAUUUGCCCAUCCGCGUAACAGGAGUAAAUGUCUAUGGGCCCAAUUAUUGGGGAACUGGGGACAAAGGGGGAUGGACACGGUCUAUUAAACCCCCUUGUGUUCGAAUAUAGACAUAGGCAAAGGGGUAUUAUGCACUAAUUAUUAUACAUGAGGUUUUGGUUAGAUCACUGACAUUUCGUGACUUGGGUAAGCAGUGAUGUUGUUGCUAGAUACGACUCACUGUUUAUUCAUGUUAAUGCGAUGAUUUAAUAUAAUUGCCAACGUCGCGGAAAACCUAUAGGGGUCACACACAAAGGACGAGUGAUGAACAAAUAGAGAAACUAAGGACAUCGUAAGUUACGGGUGCACUUAAGUGGAAUACGAAAUAUGGUAAGGUACCACACGCCUAAGUGAUUUGGGCAUAUUAUAAGAUAUGGGGCCAAAAUACACUUAAGUGGGCUUUUAGCUUGAAGCCCACACAAGUGGUUCUAUAAAUAGAACCCUUGGGUAGAAGCAUUGUAAUCUGGAACUCAAGUGAAGACUUGGAAUUUCUUUUCCUCUCUUCUCUCUCAUCAAAGCCUUUCAUUCGUACCAAGCUAAGCACUGAGAUUGAAAGGGAACCCGUUCAUGUGGACUGAGUAGGAGACGUGUCAUCGGUUCAACGUUCGUUGAAUCGCCUCCGUGGUUUUGUAUCCAAGGUUUUGAUCGUUACAAGAGAUCUGCACCAAAGGUUUGAAUCGCCACAAGAGGUAACGAUUCUAUCACUGAUCAUGCCCAUUCGUAAGGAUCACUAAAUGGAGAAAUUUUUAAACUCCGUUGCGCCUUGGAUGGCAAUUCUCCUUCACAACAGGUAUAACUGGGGCAUGUGAUUCAGCAUCAGAGAGAUAAUUGUCAGGGUGAGCAUGGAUUUAGGGUGGUGGUCCAUCCAAAUCAUAGAGUCGAUUGUUCCUAUCAUGUACACUCGUCCUAGGGUAUGGCAGGGUAAACAGGUGUACUAGUUGGCUGUUAAUGAAGAAUUCAAACAUAUCCAGACAUAGGUUUCUAAUGAUACCGGUGUUGACACAAAAUCGGAUGUUCAUAGAUCGUAUAACCCUAACUACUGGGUAAUGUAGUCCCAUUGUAUGUGCUAUCAUGGUCACUAAGCCUCCCACUUAGAUUGGUCCAUAGUCUUCAUGUGUUAUACAGUAUAGAUUGGCUAUCAUAAAUGUAGCAGCGUUAACAGGUCGGGCCUAUGAUGCACAGUACAUUAUAAAUAGUUCAUCUCUGGACACUAAGGUUCUGUUCUUUUCCUUUCCAAACAAGGUGUGAGCUAGGAUCUUAUGGAAGUAACGAAUCGCAGGGUUAUGGAUAUUCUAUGAUUGCAUAAGGUCUGGCUCGGGAUGGUUGUUUCCAGUGAUGCUACCCCAAAAGAGGUCUAAUUGGUUUUCCAUAAGUAUGUCUUCCUAGAUAAUGGUAAAGGUAUCAGGGCCAUUAGGACAUCCUAGGAGUUCAGCCAUUUCUCUGUGGGUGUAGCGAUAGUCUUUGUCAAACAACCUAAAGGUGAUUAGGCCUUUGUUAAAUCCCAUACCAUGGUUUGGUAGGUACACUAGGGAGCUUAGAAAUUCUAGAGUCAACUUAGUGAUGUAACUAUAUUUCCUCUUGAUAGCGAAGGUGUCCCAGUCUAGUUAGUUGAUUAGGAACAUGACACUGUCUAUUAUACCUAAUUUGGUCAUGGUUGGUUCAUCUAGGUAUAAGGUUAUUGUCAUUUCUCUCUGAAAUAGAGUCUCAAAACGUCUCCUUUGAGCUCUGCCUCUGAAGACUAUAUCCAUGUAAUCUACUUGUUGCAUUGUGAUAGUCAGUGGCUAGAUAAAAUCAAGUAGAUAGUAGCAUUAAGUUAGUAACGGUCAAUAAUACAGAAAUGUACUGAUUAACUUUAUGAAAAAUAAAUAAAAAAGAAAACAAAGAAAUGAAGAUUAAGCAAUAGUAGUAAUUAUAAAUUUAUGAUGAAAUUAAAUAGUUAAAGGCAGAGUGUGGGUUGUCUCCCACCAAGUGCUUUGUUUAUUGUCGUAAGCUCGACAGAAAUAGGAUAACUGAUAUUCUUUCGAAUGAGCGUGAGGCUCUGCAAACUUAAGAUUCGCAAUGAAAUCGUUGUUAUCACCGUUGUGGUAAUAUUUCAAACGUUGGCUAUUCACUAUUAAUGGUUCGCUCCUUUUUCCUGUUAUUUCUAUUGCUCUAUUCAGAAAGAUAUUGGUAAUUUCGAAGGGACCAGACCAUCUAGAACGAAGUUUUCCGGGAAAGAGUCUGAGGUGAGAGUUAAAUAGGAGUACUUUGUCACCUUCCUUAAACUCUUUCCUUAAUAUGAGAUUGUCGUGCCAUUUUUUUGUUCUUUCUUUAUAGAUUCGGGCAUUCUCAUACGCAUCUAACCUAAGUUCUUCUAGUUCGUGGAUAUCUAAUAUUCUUUUCUCGCCUGCGGCAGUAUAAUUGAGAUUAAGGGUCUUAAUGACCCAGUAUGCUUUAUGUUCUAAUUCUACCGGCAGAUGACAUGAUUUUCCAUAAACUAGCUUAAAAGGUGUGGUUCCUAUUGGGGUCUUAUAAGUUGUCCUAUAUGCCCACAGGGCUUCUGGUAAUUUCGAGGACCAAUCUUUCCUAGAGGUGGAAACUGUCUUUUCUAAGAUUUGUUUGAUUUCUCAAUUUGAGACUUCUACUUGCCCACUCGUUUGUGGGUGGUAGGGUGUUGCUACGCGAUGCCAGACUUCAUAUUUCACUAAUAGCUUUUCAAAUAUUUUUGAAAUAAAAUGGGAGUCACCAUCACUGAUGACAAGUCUCGGUACUCCGAAUCUAGGGAAGAUUAUUCGCUUAAAGAGUCUAAUUACCACUCGUGUGUCGUUUGUUGGAGAGGCUAUGGCCUCAAUCCAUUUUGAUACGUAAUCAACCCCAACAAGGAUGUAUUUGUUACCAAAAGAAGAUGGGAAAGGUCCCAUAAAAUCUAUUCCUCAAACAUCGAAGACUUCUACUUCCAAAAUGCCUUUAAGCGGCAUUUCGUCGCGUCUAGAUAUGUUGCCAGUGCGUUGACACCGGUUGCAAUUUGUGAUCGCGAGGUGGACAUCUUUCUACAGAGUGGGCCAAAAGAGGCCAGCUUGCAAGAUCUUAGUGCAAGUCUUCGAGGUGUUUGCGUGUCCUCCGCAAGGAGCAUAAUGACAAUGGGAAAUUACGUUUUCUACCUCAUCUUCUGGGACACAUCGAUGGAAAAUACCGUCGGCGCCUUUCUUGAAAAGUAUAGGCUCAUCCCAAUAGUAGUGUUUAAGAUCGUGGAAGAAUUUUUUAUUUUGUUGGUAGCUCAAGUCUGGCGGAAGCACCCUAGCUGCUAAGUAAUUGACGAAGUCAGCAUACCAUGGUAAUAUGGUUUCAGUGUAAAUUGCUUCCAUUACUUCGUUUGUUUUGGUAUCCUUAUGGGUUAACACAUCUUUAGUUGUACUGCUUUCCAAUUGGGCUAUGAGUCUUUAGUACGGAAAAUCAUCGUUUAUAGGCACUCGUUCAGGUUCAAUACCUUCCAUUCUUGACAAGUGAUCGGCCACGACAUUUUCCGUGCCUCUUUUAUCCUUGAUUACCAGGUAAAACUCUUGUAAUAGUAAAAUCCACCUUAGAAGUCUUGUGAUAUUUUCUAGGUAUGGAGGUUGCUCGGUCAAAAAAUGGCAUUGUGGUUUCACAACAGAAAUACAUUAUAGACUUGUUGAAAGGAACAUGAAUGAGUGGAUGUCGUCCUGCAGAUACCCCUAUGGAUCCUAAUGCUAAACUUUGGGGAGAAGGUAAUGUUUCUUUUGAUACUGGGAGAUAUCAGAGAUUGGUUGGGAAACUGAUUUAUUUGUCACACACCCGACCUGAUAUUGCUUUCUUAGUUAGUGUAGUGAGUCAGUUUAUGCAUUCUCCUUUCGAGGAACAUCUUAAGGCAAUCUAUAGGAUACUGAGAUAUUUGAAGGGAAAUCCUAGAAAAUGAUUAUUUUUUAAGAAGACUAGUGAAAGAAAUGUGUCUAUCUUCACCGAUGCCGAUUGGGCAGGUUCAGCCACAGAUAGAAGAUCAACCUCUGGAUAUUGUACCUAUGUUUGGGGUAAUCUUGUGACAUGGAGGAGCAAGAAACAAGGAGUUGUAGCAAGGAGUAAUGCAGAGGCCGAGUUUAGAGCUAUGUCUCAAGGUAUUUGUGAAGGAUUAUGUAUCCUUAGAGUCCUAGAAGAACUUAAGACGAAAAUUGAGCUUCCAUUGAAAUUGUACUCUGAAAGUAAAGAUGCUAUUAGCAUAGCUCAUAAUCCAAUUCAACAUGAAAGAACCAAGCAUAUCGAGAUUGAUCGACACUUCAUAAAGGAGAAGUUAGAUGCGGGAAUCAUAUGUCUAUCCUUCGUGACUUCAAGUCAACAAACUGCGAAUAUCCGGACCAAAAGUUUGACAAUACCUACUUUUGAGUAUUUGAUAGACAAGUUGGGCAUGAUAGAUAUCUAUGCACCAACUUGAGGGGGGGGGGGGGGGUUGGAAAAUAUAUUAUUUCCGGUUUCAUUAUUUCCUUUAAUACUACCUUUAUUUUUCUUUAUUCUCCAUUAAGGAGAAAAUCAAUUAUAAUAAUUGUAUCCUCACUAUAUAAACCAUCCUAAGGCUGACGAAUAAAACAUAACAACUUUUACCUAUUUUUUCCAAUAGGUUUGAUAACUUGAUUCGAGGUACGUGCUUUAAUAAUAAUGUUUCUCGUAUUUCUAUGAUUGACACGGGUGUGAUGCAUUCGUUCAUAUCUCUUGUGUGCUAGAAAUUUGAAUCUAGAAGUGUCUUCUAUUGUUGGGAGUAUGGUUGUUGAUACCCCAAAUAAUUGUUUGGUGUCUACUUCGUGGGUUUGUUUCAGUUUCCAUUUGAUUAUCUAUGGUAAAGACUUUAGUAUUAACUUAGUUUGCUUACCGUUAAUUCAACUUGAUGUUAUCUUGGGAAUAAACUGGUUGGAGUUCAACCAUGUUCAUAUCAACUAUUUCGAAAAGUCCUUGUUAUUUCCAAAGUUCAAAGAAGGUGAAGAUCUGAUGUCUAUGUCUGCUAAGCAAGUGGAUGAGUCCUUGAAAGAAAAGUUAUGAUUGGUAAUCUACUUGUUGUGCAUGAUUUUCCAGACGAUGUUAGUGAUUUCCCUCUAGAGCGCGAGAUUGAUUUAUUCAUAAACUUAGUACUUGGUACUAGUUCAAUGUCAAUGGAACCUUAUAGAAUGUAUUUUUCAGAGUUGAGUGAGUUGAAGAAACAAUUAGAGGAUUUACUUGAGAAGAAGUUUGUUCAACCCAUCAUUUCAUUGUGGGGAGCGUUGGUGUUAUUGGUUAAGAAGAAAGACGGUAGCAUUAGGUUGUGGUUUGAUUAUCAAUAAUUGAAUAAGGUUACUAUCAAGAACACGUAUCCUCUUUCAAUAAUUGAUUAUUUGAUGGAUUAGUUAGUUGGUUCUUGCGUUUUCAGUAAGAUUGAUUUGCGUUCAGAAGAUAUUCAAAAGAUUGCAUUUAGAACUCGAUAUGGUAACUACGACUAUUCAGUGAUGUCGUUCGGUGUGUCUAAUACGCUAGGUGUGUUCAUGGAGUAUAUGAAUAGGAUUUUCCAUCCUUACUUGACCAGUUUGUGGUUGUGUUCAUCGAUAAUAUUUUAGUGUAUUCGAAGGUAGAUGAAUAUCGUGCAGAAUAUCUAAGAGUGAUGAUACAAACUUUGCAAGAGAAAAAGGUUUAUGCUAAGUUGUCCAAGUUUGAGUUCUGGUUGAAAUAAGUGAGUUUCCUUGGUCAUGUGAUUUCUAGUGGUGGUAUAUUAGUUGAUCUGUCUAAGGUCGAUGUCGUGUUACAGUGGGAGACUCCUAAGUUUGUUAUUGAGAUCAUAAAUUUUAUGGGUUUGACUGGUUACUAUAGAAGGUUUAUAGAAGGCUUUCCGAAGUUAGAUUUUCCUUUGACUCAAUUGACUCGAAAAGGUCAAGCUUAUGUAUGGAAUGUUCAGUGUGAAGAGAGUUUUCAAGAACUCAAUAAGAAGUUGACGUCGGUGCCAGUUUUGAUUUUGCCAAGUCCAAGUGAAUCUUUUGUCGUGUAUUGUGAUGCUUCGAAGAUGGGUUUAUGUGGUGUGCUAAUGCAUAAUAGUCAGGUUGUUGUGUAUGCUUCGAGACAACUGAAGGUUCGUGAGAGGAAUUAUUCUACCCAUGAUUUAGAGUUGGCAUCUAUGGUGUUUAUGCUUAAAGUUUGGAGGCAUUAUCUGUUUGGAUAUAGAUUUGAAGUGUUCAGUGAUCAUAAGAGUUUGAAGUACUUGUUCGAUCAGAAGGAUUUGAAUAUGAGGUAGAGGAGAUGGCUUAAAUUUCUGAAGGAUUGUGAUUUUGGUUUGAGUUACCAUUCUGGUAAAGCCAAUGUCAUAACAGAUGCUUUAAGUAGAAAGUCUUUGCAUAUGUCGACGCUUAUGGUUCUAUAGUUGGAUUUGAUUGAACAAUUCAUAGGUCUUAUUUUAUUGUGUGAGAUGACUCCUAAUAGUGUGAAGUUGGAUAUGUUAAAGCUAAAUAGUGGUAUUCUUGAAGAAAUCAUAGAAUGUUAGAAAGUCGACUUGGGAUUGAUUGAUCGAUUGGUUUUGAUCAAUCAAGGUAAAUAGGUAGAUUUCAGAAUUGACGAGAAUGAGGUUAUGAGGUUCCGUGAUAGAGUUUGUGUUCCAUAUUUUCCAGAGUUUAAGAAGGAGAUUCUUGAGGAAGGUCAUAGGAGUGGGUGAGUAUUCAUCCCAGUGCUACGAAGAUGUAUCAGAACCUUAGAAGAUGUUUUGGUGGCCAGGUAUGAAGAAGGGUGUUGUUGAGUUUGUUUAUUCUUGUUUGACUUGUCAAAAGUCGACAAUUAAGCAUCAUAAGCCAUCAGGAUUGAUGAAACAAUUGAGUAUUCCUGAGUGGAAGUAGAACAACAUUCCUAUGGACUUUGUGACGAGUUUUCCUAAGACUUCUAAGAGAAGUGAUUCAAUUUGGGUUAUGGUGGAUAGUAUGACUAAAUUAGUUCAUUUCAUUCCGAUAAAGACUAGUUAUUUUUUGCAGAAGAUGACGGAUGUGUAUAUCGAGAGGAUUGUCAGUUUGCAUGGUAUUCCUUUGAGUAUUGUUUAAGAUGGAGAUCCUAGGAUCACUUCGAGGUUUUGGGAGAGUUUGUAGGAAGCCUUGGGAACCAAGUUAUGGUUGAGUUAUGCUUAUCAUUCGCAGAUGGACGCUCAGACAAAGAGGACCAUCCAUUCUUUAGAAGAUUUGCUGAGAGCUUGAAUGCUAUAAAAAUAAGGUGGUUGGGAUACUUACUUGUCGUUGAUCGAGUUUACAUACAACAAUAGUUUCCAUUCUAGCAUUGGAAUGGCCAUUUUUGAAGCAUUAUAUGGUAUGAGGUGUAGAACACCUUUGUGUUGGUAAAAUUAUGGUGAAAGUGUUGUACUUGAACCAGAGAUUGUUUAGAAGACGACUAAGAAGAUCAAGACGAUUCAAGAGAAGAUGAAAGCUUCGUAGAGUAGGCGGAAAAGUUAUCAUGAUAAUAGGAGGAAAUAACUUGAAUUCCGAGAGGGAGAUCAUUUGUUCCUGAGAGUCACUCUGGUGAUUGGUGUUUGUCGUGUGUUGAAAUCUCAAAAUCCCACUGCGUGUUUCAUUUGUCCUUGUCAUAUUUUGAAGAGAGUAUGAGAAGUGGCCUACAGAGUUUGUUUACCAUCAUAUCUUUUGAAUAUUCAUAGUGUAUUUCAUGUGUCUCAACUUAGGAAGUAUGUUCAAGAUCUGUCUCAUGUGAUUCAAAGGGAUGAUAUACAAGUGAGAGAUAACUUGACUGUGAUGGCAUCACCAUAACGAAUCGAUGAUCGAGAAGUGAAACACUUGAGAGGUAAAGAGAUUUUCUUAGUGAAGGUUGUAUGGGGAGGACCUACUGGAGGAAACAUGAAGUGGGAGCUGGAGAGCCGGAUGAAAGAGUCUUAUCUGGAGCUGUUUCUUUCAGGUAAUUUUCGAGGGAAAAAAUUGUAUAACUGGGGGAGAGUUGUAACACCCUGAAUUCGAUUAAUUAAUUGAAUUGAAUUUUUAUUUCCUUUAUUUAAUUAUUUGGAUGAUUUAAUAUACUUUUUAUUACUUAUUUUGGUGGCAGCAUGUGUUAUGUGAUUAUUUGGUAAUUGUUGAGGUUUGUUGGAAUUUAGUAGAGUUUUAUUUUUUUUAAAAUAAUAGAAUAAUAAUAAAUUAAUAGAAAUAAUGAUAUUGGCCAAAAAAAAUAGAAUUAUUAGAAAAAUAAGGGAAAUGGUGAAAAUAGAAAUAAGUGGGGGGAUAAAGGUGUGAAAAGGAGAGUUAAUUAUAUUUUAAAUUUAAAUAAAGAGUAAAAUGAGGGGAGUCAAAACUUGUCAGUACAUAGAAUUGGGAAAAGGAGGCAAGUGUGAGAGAAUGAGAACAAUGGCUUAAGGGAGAAGAAGAACGGCAUAAUCAAAUUUGUUUUGCUGUUGGAAAUUUAGGUAAGGGGGGACUACUUGAAUAUAUGUGUUUUUGCAUGAAGGGUAGAGAUGAAUCAUCACCCCCCUCUAGGUUUUUCUCCAUUAUUAUUUUUAUGAAUUCUUGAAUGUGAUUAUGUGUAACCCAUGAGAAUUGUCAUGUUUGAUGUGUAAAUUCGUGCUCUGAGUAUUUCUGAAUUUUAUGUAUAAUGAAUUAGCAUGAAUCUGAAUGUUAUCACUACCAUUGUUGUGUAUUUGGUUUUAUGAACAUAACCUUGAAUUCGUGAUUAAUUGAUGAAUUUGAAUGAUAAUUGAUGCAUAUAUGAUGUUUAAUUGUUAUAUAAUAUGUAUAUAUUAUUUUCUGGGCGAUUUGGGGUGUUGGGGUCGAAAUCAGAGCUUCGGAUGAGCUCUCGUGGUGAAAAAUGUAGAUUAUGGUUAUGUAUUAGUGUGAUGGUUCUCACGAGCGUGACGGGUUGCCCGUCAUGCUUCUGGGUUAGUUGACGGUCGUCAGCAUGGUGAUGGGGAGACCGUCAUGGUCUCCAAGAAGGAUUUUCAUGCCGAUCGUCAUAAGGGUAACGAGUUGUGAAGGGAAACAAUGACGGGUUGGGUGACAGUCGUCCCCCAGGUGACGACCUGGUUGUCAUGACCACCAGAGACCGAAUUUUUGUGAUAGAUCCAGAUUUCGUGUGGUCAAUGGUUGACUGUUGUUUUGGUAUAUUUGAUGAAUUUAAUUUAUUAAUGUGAAUUAUUAUGAUGAUGAAAUAAUAACUCGGUUAAUUUUCAUGAUUAUAAGUGGUGAAUUGUCAUUAUGUUUAUGAGUUGUAAUGUUGUGAAUGUAAUCAUGUGAUGUGAAUAUAAUUAUAAUUGUUGGUGUUAAGGUGGGUAGUUCAGAAGUAAGAACUAUUGUGAAUGAUGUAUUGCAUGUUGCUUAUGGUUAGAAGUGGAACCAUAAGUGUUGUUGUUGCAUUACUUUGUAUGUCAUGCAUCAUUUUUUGUCAGUAUGUUGAAAGAGACGAGUCACGAGUUCAGAAGUCGGGACCAGUGAUCGUCUAGGGUUCAGUAGUGAGUAUCCGGGGUUCAAAAUGGGGGAACCGAUUCGAAUAAGGAACCAUUGUUUAGUGGACGAGAUCAGUAACAAAUGUAUGAUCUCCAAAUUGGUAUCACAUGCCUAUAGUCGAGUUAUAAGUCACAUUGCAUACAUAAAGGUUGUGUCAAUUGAAUUGUUAUGUUAUUGUGUAAAUGUAAUAUUUGUUGUUGAUUAUGUGAUUUAAGUUACCCUUGCAUUCUUUUACAUUGUUAAUAUAUUUGAGUGUGUUCUCACCCCUUUGUUGUUUGUUUUAUGUUGCUUUAUACAUUAUGAUACAUAUACUCAGGAGGAGUAAGUGUUGUUGUGAGUUGGAAGAGGACUAUGAACCUUUCUUCGUUUUCUUUAUUGUUUUAUCGUCAUUUAGUUGGAACUUGCUCUGAUCUCUAACUUCGGGGAAAAAACCAUUGAUUUGUUUUGAGUUAAUGUUUUCUUGUUGAUUUCAUUAAGCAUUUCAUUUGAAGAGAUAAUUGAUAUUUAUGUUAAUUAUUUCUAACUCCACAACGACUUUUGAAAUUAGUUAGAAAGUAUUCAUGUUGUGUUUGAGUAGCAUCCUAAAAUAUUAAUUUUAUUCUCUUUAUUUAAGAGUCAGAAUUUUAGGGUGUUACAUAAUCCAACCUGAUCAAGAGCAAAGUGAAGUAAGUAAAGAAAGUAUGGUGGUAUGUUCACUCCAUUGAAGCCCCUUGAAGAUUGACUAACUAACAUGCAAGGAAAAUAAAAGGCAAGGGAAGAUCAUGUGGAACUUGAAAUUAGGAUUUGCAUGUACUGAGAAGGAAAGAAAGUCCAGUACCAUCAUCUUUAAUUUCUAAGUUGGACUUAUUUCUAAGCUUUAAUCUUAUCUAGGUUGUAGAUAGGGAUUUGUAUGUUUGACAUGAAAAGUUUGACGAGUUAAUGAUAAAAUACAUGUUAAGAACCAUGAUCAUCUUUAGAAACUUCUAACCAUGAUUGUGCUGAGAACUAGUUAAGUAUUCAUAUUUUCCUUGAUUCUAUGAAGAUGCAUAAAUGACAUAUGAUGAUAUAAAUUAUCAAAGCAGGUUUAAAGAUGAGCUUCUAUUGAGAAAAUGCCAUAUUCUGAGUUUUUGGUCUUGUGACUCAACUCAUGGGUGUGCGUGAAUCGAGUUAGAGAUAUUUUUAGGCCAUGAAUUGAGUUAGGAGAAGGUUGAAUCAAUUCAAGCAGGAAAGGCAUUGCAUGUGGUUUUUGUGACUCGACUCGUGAAAUUCCAUGAAUUGGGUCAUGAGUCCAAAAUUAUGAAAGCCCCUUAACUAUCAUGUUCUAUACCCUAAAUUGAAAUGGCUAAUGAUACUUGAAGUUAAUGGACUAAUCUUAUGCAUGAUUAUCAUUAGAAGUCAACUUAGAACCGGGUAAGGUAUGAUUAGAAAUUGGUGAUAUCAUGCAAUGUAUGUUAAGAUCAAGCAUAAAUUUUUGUUAAUCUAAGUAGGUAUUAUGUACAUAAAAAAUUAGACUAAGUAAUGAGUGAUCAAACAUGAGCCAUGAACUUAGUAAUGAGACUAAGCAAUGGUUAAAAAAGUGAAACAUAUUAUGUAAUUGCAAAAGAAUGAUUAGGUUAAUGUUGAAUUAAGAUACAUAAGCAAGGAAUGAAAAUAAGUCUUAAAUGUGAUGUAGGCAAGAUCAUUAAUCGUGGCUAAGGUUUAUGGAUGACAUCCUUCAAGAUGAAAUAUUCGAAGUUGGUUUUUAUUAUCGAAAAUAACAUAAUUGAGAAGGUUAUGGUUACGUCAUACUAGAAAUAUUGUAAAGCAAACUAAAUAAGUUAUGUCCAGUGUAGUCAAAUGUUAAAUACUUUAUAUUCUUAUGUGAUAUUAAUAUCCAUAAGGAGUGUAAUUCAGUGUAUGACAUCAUGUGGUGUAUGAUCGCAUGAAGUGAUAACUUUAUGGGAGCCUUCUAGGUAGUGAAUAACAUUUAUAUACAGGAUGACAGUGAGAUAUAAGUGUCUCAAUCCAUAAUGUUGGAUUAUACACUUAGAUAAGCACAAAAUUGAAGUCUCAUAUAAGUGUCUCAAUCCAUAAUGUUGGAUUAUACACUUAGAUAAACACAAAAUUGAAGUCUCACUAGUUAUGAUGGAUGUAUAUGAUCCCAAUAUUAUGCUAGAAUAUGAUGAACAUAUUUGAUCAUAACUUGUGUGAAUGAUACAUGACCUACACGGUUGACACAACAUACAUAUCUAUAGGUUAUGAGAUAUAGUGUCACAAUACGGAAUGUCAUGAUGCACAUGGAUAAACAUGAAAUUGGUAUUUCAUGAGUUAUAAUAGAUGUAUAUGAUCGUGAUUUUAUGUUCAUAGAUGGGGCCUAAUUGGUCAUGAUUCGUGCAAGUGAUACAAGAUUUAUGUGGUUGACACGACUUCUCUCUAUAGGUUAUGAGAUAUGUGAUUAUCCUCAAUAGUCGAGUCAAGGAAUGUGAGGUUUAUUCGCUAUAGAUAAGUCAAAUUUAUAAUUGGAAUUAAUAGUUGAUUUUUUGAAAGGGUGUGUGAAUUUAGAUGAUGAUUGUAGGUUUUAAGGGAUACAAGUUACAACUUAAUCCGAGUAAUCGAAUAGUGAAUGGUAGUGAAAUGUUAGACAGAUCUUGCUAAGAAAUUAUUAGCAUCUCAUCCCACGUUGCAUCUAUUCUUUUCAGAUAAACAGGUGCACAAAUUAGACUCAUAGCUGAAAACGCAUUGGAUAAUAUUUUCCAUUGGGAUGAUGACUACUAUGUUAAAUUAUACUGAAUUAGUUUUGCGAACUUGAGUUCCCACCAGUUUAUUCUAGACAUAAUUUUAGGUAUUGCAUUUUGGUACAAUGAAACUGCCCUGGUUAUUUAUACUGAACACUCCAACACAUGGGUAUGCUUAGACCAUAAUGUAUUAACGGCCUAAAAACUAUUUGCUUGACCAUGUAUGUUCAAAAAUCUGUGUAAAUAACCUUAAUUAAUCUUUCUUACAUGAUUUCAAAUAGGUUUAUUAGAAAGUGUUGGGAAAAUGAACUGAUAGUGAAUCUUUGAAGAAGGAACUUCUAAAAUACAUUUUAAAAGAAACAUCAGUUUAAUUUCUUAUGAUUUUCAAUAAACUUCUCAUAAAGUUUUACACCAGUUUACACAAGUUGGGGUGUUGACAUUAAGGUGAGUCUUAAUUUGAGAGACUUUGGGAUGGUGGGAGGGAGACACGAUUUUAUAUGCAUCACCAACAAAACUUACAAACCCAGUGUGACAUGCUUUCAAAUCAAAUCAAUCAAUCUAACCAGAACCAUACUAUCAUAUUUGGUUUGAAUAAACUAUAUCAAGAAAGUCAUCAGAUCAGGUAAAAACUGGAUAAGAUCAACAGUUCCUUGAGUUUGAGGCUUGCUAUCAGAAACACUUCAAUUUCCAAUUCAAUGUAAUUGUCUUACUUGCUAAAUGGUAUAUAAUCAAUACAAACAGCUAAAUAAUAUACUACCUCUCCACCCAAUUGAUGCCUUACUUCUAAGACCCUUACUUCUAAAACCGACCUAAAUGGGCAAACUAUCAAACCGAAGAGAAACAACAUUUCUACAAUUGAAAACGGAAUAUAGAACUUCAAUGAGUUUUAAAAAUAAGUUGAAAACAUCUUAUUACUACCAAAACAAAGUUUGAAAAAAUCAUAUUCAAUACCAGAAGAGUGAAAUCAUCUUAUGACAAUAUUAUAUAAACUAUAAAUGCUUAUAUCAAUAAACCAAUUAACUCUUGUAAGCACUUGUUUAGUUUAAAACAUUAAGAGCUCAAUUUGGGAAUAGAGACAAGAGCUUAUCCUAACGAUGUUUCAAGAUAUAAUUCAGGAAGAGAUGUGACUUCCCUAUUAGCUAUGAAACCAUGACAAACAUUAACUUAGUACUUCAAUUCUUAAAAUGAUAAACUAGUGAAUGACAUCAUGUACUCUCUAAUACAUUAUGUCUAUCACAUUCUCUUAUUGACCGAAAUUUCUAGUGAAUCUCCGCUAACUCAAACCCCCAGGCGGAUUUGCCAAGAUUUCUUUAUGAGCUUUAAUAAAUAAAUAUGUUGAAAAAUGGUGUUAAAAAAGAAUUCCUAGCAAUACUCCUUCCCUUAUUCUUAGAAACAAUUUGUGAACUAGCAAGGCCCCAGUAUUUUAUUAGAAAACUUAAACAUUUCCCUAACCGCAAUACAACACAACUGCUAGUUUUAGUUUAAGAAAAGAGCUGGUAUUAACAGGAAAACGUAGCAAAAUUCUACAACUCAAAUUAUUUGAUCAUCUAUCCUAUCUUCUCCCAGCAACACAUCUAUCCUAUUUUCACCUCAGCCUUCAUUAAAUGCCCAAAACAUCGAUGGUGUCCACAAGACCUAUGAUCACUUCAGAAACAAAUGAGAAACUUGAUAAUUUCCUGUACCAUGAUACAAUAACUUGGUGCUCAUAACACCGUGUCAGCUAAGAAAAUUAAUUAUAGGUAAAAUGUAAAGACGCCACCAAAGUCUGACAUUAAUCAUGACAGACACGAAAAUUCAUUUGGAAGUCUUUUACCUGUCACACAGGAAUUGUUAAAAACCAAAUCUCUUAUACCAACCCGAAAUGCCUAAAAUAAAUAGCAAGGCACAAUUACCUUCGGGAUGAGAUGUGUGAUUAAAGGCAUCAAAAAGGCAGCUUCAGCACCAAACAAUUAAGAGAAUGAGAGAAUUAGUCCUCAAACAAAAGUUAGAAUCAGUUUUGAACAAACAAAAUCAACUGAAAGUGACGAUAGAAGAACAUAAACAAAAAACACCAGGUACCAGCUGCCAUAAAAGUUCAAACAAGCUUUCAAAAGAAACAUUAGCAACCAAACAUUACGGUGUGAAAAAUAAAUGCCACGGAAAAUAAUGCAGAAUAUUAUGUCCUACACAAUAGAAAAGAUUAAUUAUCAUAACAAUAGUAAGCUUUUGAUGUUGCCCCCCAGCUAUAUGAAGAUUGUGUCUCAACUUCCAACUCGAAUUCUCUGCAAAUUUCAUAACAGUACAGCAAGGUUAAAGAUGUGAGUCCCAAACUUCCAAGAAAGACAUGGCAAGAGGUUAGGAAAUCAGGUUCACAAAACUCGAAUUCUCUGCAAAUUUCAUAACAGUACAGCAAGGUUAAAGAUGUGAGUCCCAAACUUCCAAGAAAGACAUGGCAAGAGGUUAGGAAAUCAGGUUCACAAGAGCUCCAAGAAACAUCAGGCCUGUCACAACGUUACAUCAUAACAAUGAAGAGUUAAGAAAUGUAAAAUCAUGAUAAAAUAUAAAGUAAGCAUGCAGAA
rnacentral:lncRNA from 1 species